UCAUCAUUUUUUUCAAGCAACUUCUACUCUUUAUUUUUUAUUUUUCUUAACAUCAUCAUUCCCUUUUCUAUCAUUAGCUCGUGCUGCAAUUAAACAUCAUACCUCCCAACUUGUUACUACAGACUCAUGCUAUAAUUAACAACUUCCCUUAUCAAUACAGUAACCAAAACAAACCUUCCUCCUCAACUUCCAAUGUCAAAACAGUAAGGUGUGUCCAAUUUUCCUUCUUUUUUUUUUUUUUUUUUUUUUUUUUGGUCACACCUUACAUUCACAAUUACUUUGACAAUGGCAACCCUCUUCUUAUGACGUGCAAACCCCACUUGUACCUUCAAGCACCUACCACACCCCCAUUUUCAGCAGCACACAUUCUCUACUCCAAUAUUCCUCACAUGCAUCUCUCUAGUGCUCCAUCAAUUUCUCAGAACAAGGGUAGGAUAUAUAUGUGUGUAAGGGUGAAGAGUCAGGAAUAUGUGGUUUAUGAAAGAAAUGGCUUAUUAAGGCUAAGGGGGCUGACUAAGAGAUAAUGUAAUUGGGACAAUGGCUAUUUGGCUCUGGUGGUAAAAUCCUAUAAUCCCACAAAUCAUGUGAUUCAAUAUAAAGCCUCGAGAGUCAUUGAAGCAAGUUCUAGGACAAUUAAUGAGAUCAUAUACACCCUAUCUAACAAGAAAUAUCAGAGAACUACAUUCUAUAACACUUUCAAGAAUAGGCAAUCGGCUCAAAAACUCACAGGGUUAAUACAAGUCUACACUAACUUUCACAUGCUUCUCUAGAUCACAGAAUUUCAUAUCAACCAUGGCUGUUGUGUUCAAGCAUAAUCAUCAUAAGAAAACAUUAACAAAAGAUUGAUGUCCAGACCUAAAUAGAUGUAUUCAUCAGCUCUCAUCGAAAUCCAAUUCUUAUUCUCAUCCUUGGUGUCAGAAGAAACUAAAACAGAACAAAACACACUAACCCACAACAAAAAAAUGAAUUUUUUUUAAGUCAAUUUUCUGCUAAACAAUCUACCACAUGCGAAUCUAGAAACAAAAAUAAAAUCCUAAAUCAUUCCCCCCAAACUUAAGUGAAACAUUGUCCUCAAUGUUGAAAAUAUUAGCUAACAGGAAUGCAUCAAGCAAGCAAGGGAAGAAUCACAAAACAAAAGCAAAUAAAGUAAGAGCAAAGAUUGAGUUGAGAACUCCCUGAAGGUAGCCGAAGAGGAAGGAAAGGCAAAGGCUGCUCCAAAUUGUUGCGAAUCGCCAUAGCUGCUAGAAAAGAUAAAGCCCGAAUCGGACAGCGAAGGCGAUGUUAUUUGCCCAUAAAUCGUCGGGGCUCAUUGCUUUGCAAUUAGUCUUGUAGCUCUCGCAAUUCCACAUGAAAUCGAUAUCUCACUCACCCAAAUCGGACACUUCUGUCCCAUAAUUGUAUGAGCCCAAACUGGAAGCUGCUGCGUCUCACCACCGUUUCCCAAAAUUAAAAACAACGACUUGGGUUGCCUUCCAAGUAGUGCUAAGUUUUAAGUCUUCAGCCAAACAUAACUUUUAAGCACGUGAACUAAGUUGAAGAGGAAGGGUCAAUAAGGUUUAGACCGUCCUUUUCUGCAUCAAAAUUGGGCUCAAAAUAGGGCUUUAAACGCUGCCCAUUAACUUCGAACAGAGCUCCUGUCUUCAUGUUCUGAACUUCCACCGCUCCAUGAGGAAAAACCUGAGUAACAAGGAAAGGUCCAUACCAUCGUGAUCGAAGCUUGCCAGGAAAAAGCUUCAGCCUUGAGUUGUACAACAACAACUUCUGAUUUGGAACAAACUCCUUACGAAGAAUUCUCUUAUCAUGAUAAAGCUUUGUUCUUUCCUUGUAAAUUUUCGCAUUUUCAUAGGCAUCAUUCCUCAGUGCAUCCAGUUCAUUGAGUUGAAGCUUCCUCGCAUCACCAGCUUUGGCUAUGUCAAAAUUGAGCUUCUUGAUUGCCCAAUACGCCUUGUGUUCAAGCUCAACUAGAAGAUGGCAGGCUUUUCCAAAAACAAUACGAUAUGGAGACAUGCCUAUAGGAGUUUUGCAGGCAGUCCUAUAAGCCCAGAGUGCAUCACUCAACUUUGUCGACCAAUCUUUCCUUGAUGUUUGCACAGUUUUCUCAAGGAUACUCUUGAUUUCACGAUUGGAAAUCUCAACUUGACCAGAUGUUUGAGGAUGGUAUGGAGUUGCAACCUUAUGAGUGAUAUUGUAUUUCUUCAUGAGAGCUUCAAAAGGCUUGUUGCAAAAGUGAGAUCCUCUAUCACUAAUAAUUGCUCUUGGUGUGCCAAACCGAGUAAAAAUAACCUCUUUCAGAAAAUUGAGCACCACUUUGUGAUCGUUGGUCUUAGAAGGCAUAGCUUCAACCCACUUAGAGACAUAAUCCACUGCCACCAAGAUAUACAGAUAACCAUUGGAAGAUGGGAAUGGUCCCAUGAAGUCAAUCUCCCAUACAUCAAAGAUUUCAACUUCUAGAAUAUUUUGGAGGGGCAUCUGAUUCCUUGAGGAGAUAUUUCCAGUUCUUUGGCAGCGAUCACAAGCCAUGCAAAAGGUGUGAGCAUCCUUGAAUAUAGUAGGCCAAUAGAAGCCACUUUGUAGAACCUUUAAUGUUGUCUUCUUAGGGCCAAAGUGUCCUCCACACGCAUAUGUAUGACAGAAAGUGAGAAUACUCCUUGCUUCACUAUCUGGAACACACCUUCUUAUGAUUUGAUCAGGACAAAACUUGAAGAGAUAAGGGUCAUCCCAAAAAUAAUGCUUCACCUGUGAAAGGAAUUUCUUAAUUUCUUGCUUGCUAAACUCUUCAGGAAUUAUUUUUCUCACCAAGUAGUUCACAAUGUCUGCAAACCAUGGAACUUCUUGUUCUUGAAUAGCAAAAAGUUGCUCAUCUGGGAAGCACUCUCUCAACGGUAGCUCAUUGCCACUUUCUUCCUCAUUAACCAAUCUUGACAAGUGAUCCGCUACAACAUUCUCGGUUCCUUUUUUAUCCCGGAUUUCCAAAUCAAAUUCAUGUAGCAAGAGAAUCCAACGAAUUAACCUUGGUUUGGCAUCAUGCUUUGACAAUUGAUACCGUAGAGCUGCAUGGUCCGUGAAUUCAAUCACUUUUGAGCCAACAAGAUAUGACCAGAACUUCUCUAGUGCAUAAACCACAGCAAGCAAUUCUUUCUCUGUUGUAGAGUAAUUAAGUUGAGCAUCAUUGAGCAUCCGACUUGCAUAAUAGAUGGCAUGAGGAAGCUUGUUAACCCACUGCCCCAAAACUGCUCCAAUAGCAUAAUCAGAUGCAUCACACAUUAAUUCGAAAGGAAGACUCCAGUCCAGUGCCAUAAUGAUGGGAGCUUUUGUUAAGAGCUCUUUGAGUGUGUUGAAGGCCUUUAGGCAGGCAUCAUCAAAGCAGAAUGUGGCAUCCUUAGCAAGAAGAUCGCAUAAAGGCUUUGCGAUGCGUGAGAAAUCCUUGAUGAAUCUUCGACAAAAACCGGCAUGUCCAAGGAAGCUUCUUAUUCCUUUCACUGUUGUAGGAGGAGGGAGCUUGGCUAUCAAGUCAAUUUUUGCCUUGUCUACUUCAAUACCUCUCUGUGAAACUACAUGGCCAAGCACAAUACCUUGUUGCACCAUAAAAUGACACUUCUCCCAAUUAAGCACCAAGUUGCAUUCUUCACAUCUAGUGAGAACAAGCUACAAGUGAUGGAGACACUUAUCAAAGCUAGAGCCAAACACACUUAAGUCGUCCAUGAAUACUUCAAUGAAUCUUUCCACCAUAUCAGAGAAAAUACUGAGCAUACACCUUUGAAAAGUUGCUGGCGCAUUACAAAGACCAAACGACAUCCUCCGGUAUGCGAAAGUGCCAAAGGGACAUGUAAAAGUGGUCUUCUCUUGAUCCUCCGGUGCUAUGGCAAUCUGAUUAUAACUGAUAAAAUAGUAAUUGUAAUAUGCUUCUAUAUUCGUAAGUAUAGAAUUAUUAAAGCAGCCUACAUAUAUACAAAGAGAAUAAGAAGCUUUUCUAGGAAAGCUAUAAAAUGUAAUCAACUAAUUUCAUAAUCAGAUCCCUUAGUUUCUCUGACCUGAUUGCAAGGAUCCACCAAUUGCUCUGCUAGAAUCAUUCAUUGGUGCAGGGAAUUAGUGACUUGAUUUCCUUCCUUUCAUACUCCCCCUCAAGUUGGAGUGUGAAUGUCAAUAACACUCAACUUGCUAAGAUGUGUGUGGAAAGUAGGUCCCCACAACGGCUUUGUAAACAUGUCUGCAAUUUGACUAUCAGUAGGCACAUAAGCUGUUUUGAUUUCUCCUUUUUGAAAACCAAUUGGCAAAGGAUGGAGUAGCCCAAACCCUUAUAAACCCACAUGCAAGGUCUCAUAUUCCCAAUGUGAGAUUUAUAUCUCAACACGCCCCCACACGUGUGGCGAAUUUUCAAGCCUAACACGUGGACAACAUUUGGGGUUGACGUGGAGUUUGUGUGGCCAUUGGGCUUCACACGUGGACGUGGGUAGCCCGCUCUGAUACCAUGAUAAAAUAGUAAUUGUAAUAUGCUUCUAUAUUCGUAAGUAUAGAAUUAUUACAGCAGCCUACAUAUAUACAAAGAGAAGAAGAAGCUUUUCUAGGAAAGCUAUAAAAUGUAAUCAACUAAUUACAUAAUCAGAUCCCUUAGUUUCUCUGAUCUGAUUGCAAGGAUCCACCAAUUGCUCUGCUAGAAUCAUUCAUUGGUGCAGGAAAUUAGUGACUUGAUUUCCUUCCUUUCAUAAUAACUGCUAUAACCAUCCAAGAAACAAUAGUGACUGUGACCAGCUAAUCUUUCAAGCAUUUGAUCGAUGAAUGGCAAAGGGAAGUGAUCCUUCCGUGUAGAUGCAUUAAGCUUCCGGUAAUCUAUGCAAACUCUCUUAACCCGUUGUCACUCUUUGAGGCACCAAUUCAUUGGAAUCAUUCUUGACAACGGUAAUACCGGACUUUUUUGGAACAACUUGCACCGGACUCCCCCACUUGCUAUCCGAAAUAGGAUAAAUAAUUCCUCAAUCAAGGAGCUUCAAAAUUUCAAUCCUUACCACUUCUUUCAUAUGUAGGUUCAAUCUCCUUUGUGCCUCACGACUUGGCUUUGAUUCAUCCUCCAAAAGAAUGCGAUGCAUGCACUUUGUGGGACUUAUACCUCUAAUGUCUGCAAUAGACCACCCAAUGGCUGCCUUAUGAUCUUUGAGAACUCUUAGCAACUUCUCUUCUUCAAUCCUGCUUAAAUUUGAAGCUAUUAUCACAAGUAAAGUCUCCAAAUCUCCAAGGUAUGCAUAUUUCAGAUGUUCUGGAAGUAGUUUCAACUCCAAUACAUGUGCUGUAACAACAGAGGGAACAAUCUUGGCAUUGGAAGGAGGAAGAGCUUCAAAACUCGGCUCAAAUUGUGGAGAAUACUUAGGAACAACGUUGAGGAUUGUAGCGGCCUCUUCAAUCCUCGGCUCACUGAAUUCUAUUCCACUAUAAGCAAGGCAUGUCUCUAUAGGAUCGGAAGAAUGGUUUUCUAGAAAACUUUGAUGCACAAUCUGAUCAACAACCUCCAUAGAAAAAGAAUGAGAACUCUCGGAAGGAUGCUUAGCCGCGUCAAAGACUUUAAACUCCACCAUCAUAUCUUGUACUUCCAUUGUGAGUCUUCCUCGUUUUACAUCUAUCAUUGUCCCUAUAGUAGCCAUGAAUGGUCUGCCCAACAACAUAGGAAUCUCCUGGUCUGGUAUUGGCACUUCUUCCAUAUCAAGUACAAAGAAUCAGCUGGAAGGAUGAGUUGAUCCACUUUCACUAAUACAUCUUCAACGAUUCCUCUCCAGAUUUUCAAAGAUCGAUCGGCUAGUUGCAACUUCACUGUAGCUUCUUGUAAUUCCCCCAAAUUUAGUUGUUCAUAGAUGGAAUAUGGCAUAAGAUUCACACUUGCACCCAAAUCUAGCAUAGUGUCAAGACCCACCCCAAAUUUUACCCUAAAACCUGGAAUAAGUCCUUCAGGACCACCUCCAAGGAAAAUUUACCGAAAUAUUCAGCAUAACCUCCCUUGAAAAUGGACAACCUUAUCCUGAAAAAUUCAGAUAACACUCCUAUACCAACACAUCCAACCUCAACACCUGGAGCCUCCCGCUCCCCCACAACACAUCCACCACACACAAAAAAUAAUAUCAUCUUCUAAUCCAACAUAUAAAUAUCCAAUUUAUAUCAUACACCAUCAUUUGGAUAACUCCCAAAUUAAUAAACAAAGACUUAGCACACAACCGAACUAUUAUACAAAUAAUCUCAAGGUAAUCAGAGCUAUUAAACACUAGCGGAAACAAGAAAAUAUGGUAGUAGGUUAACAGGUAACCUACUGAUGAAAGGUGGAAGAGAUAUGGGUGACUAUGCCUCGCCUCUGACUAGUGCCAACUUGAACUCUGCAGACUGGGCAUUUUAAAACGAAUGGCCCAGGGGAAAACAUUUGAAACCGUUAGAGUGAGUGGACAAAAAUAAAUUAAUAAAUAAAAUAUUUAUGCAUUCCCAUUUGAAUUUCCAAAGAAAUUAUGUUGCAUGCGAAAAUUCAAAUGCGCUCAACUCAUACCCUGACAAUUUCAUGACUAGCUUUGGCUAGUCUCCAAACUCAAUAAACUGGAGCCUCUCAGGCUAAAGUAUAUAUAAACAUAUAUGUGUAUGUAUUUACACUCGUCAGAUUCCUUGUAUGAAUUCUAUGAACAAAUUUGAAAAGUAGAAAUUCAUACAAGGCUACGACGCUUGCGUUUAACGCUCACGUCACGUCAUAAUGGAAUUUUUCCUCAUUAUGACCGAAGAUGACGGGUGUAUAUAUACAUAUGGACUCCCUAUAUGAAAACCUAUAUAAACCAGAAAAGAAAGUAGUUUUCAUAUAGGGCUAUGACGCUUGUGCCUAACAUUCACGUCACGCCAUAAUGGUAUUUUACCUCAUUAUGACGGACAAGCACGUAUGGCUAGCUAGCAUUUAUAUACAUACUAUACUCAUAAACAUCGAAAAUACAUAUCCACCGAAAAUCUCAUUUUCGGGAACUCUCCAAAGGAGGAAAAUUGCCAAAUAUCCGAGAAAGAAAUAAAUCUCAACAGAAGAAAUAAAUGAUCAAUAGAAUAAUUCAUCGCAUGCUUUUCAAUUAAAACAAAGGUCCACUUACAAAUUAGGCCUAAGCCAGAUGUCGCUCCAAGACUUCUUCUGCUCGGGUCUCCUCUCGUCCUGUUCCAAAUGUAAUAUUAAUUUCCUAACCAAAAAUCCAAAACUUACACAAAAUAGGCAAAAUUAACCGAGAGCCAUAAACACGCUCAUCAAUGCCUAACUUCGAUACGGUCCACACCUCAACACUUAAACCAACAACCUUAACUACUGACACGACCCACCCCGAAUUUCACCCUGAAACCCAGAGUAAGUCGUGCGGGGACCACCUCCAAGGAAAAUUUACUGAAAAGAUUAAGAAAAUCUCCCUUGCAGAUGGACAACCCUAACUCGAAAAUUUCAUAUUACACUCUUAAUUUAACACUUCUGAACAUCACAUAAUAUACAAAAAUUCUAAAGUAUUCAGAGCUACUAAACACAAGCGGAAGCAAGAAAACACGAGUAGGUUGAACAGGUAACCUACUGGCGAAAACUGGCAGAAAUGCGGGUGACUAUGCCUCGUCUCCUACUAGAUCCAACCCGAACUCUGCAGACUGGGCAAUUUAAAACGAAGGGCCCAGGGGAAAACAUUUAAUAACGUUAGAGUGAGUGGACAAAAAUAAAAUAAUAAAUAAAAUAUUUAUGUUUCCCCAAAUUAAUUUUUAAGGAAAAAUCGAAUGCAUGCCACAAGCGAUAAAACUUUUAUCCCAUAAAAUAUCGAGCCUCUCAGACUCUAUAAUAUAUGUAUGUAUUUACACUCGUCCAUACUCCCUAUAUAAAUUCAUGGGUCUAUAUAGGGCUACUACGCUCGCGUCCAACGCUCACGUCACGCCUUAAUGCGGUGCUACACUACGCCAUCAAGGUGGACAGAUGGGUGUAUAAAUAUGUGCCCAUACCCCCUAUAUGAAUUAAACACUCAUAUAGGGCUACUACGCUCGCGUCCAACGCUCACGUCACACCAUAAUGCGGCUAUAUGCUACGCCAUUAAGGUGGACAGACACAUAUGGCUAGCUAGCAUUUUAUAUACAUACUCUCUCUCAUAAAUACAUAUUUAUAUCCACCGAAAAUCCCAUUUUCGGUAACUCUCCAAGAGAAAUAAGAUUGUCAAAAAUUAAAAUGACGUCAAAAUGCUCCAUGACAUUAAUUGUUCAUUCAUGAACCAUAGCAUGCAUAUUAUUUAAAACAAAAGUCCACUCACAAAUUUGGCCUAAGCCUGAUGUCGAUCUGGGGCCUCGUUUGCUCGAGCCUCCUCACGUCCUGUUCCAAAUAUAAUAUUAAUUUCCCAACCAAUAAUCCAAUAUUAAUCAAAAUAGGCAAAAUUACCCGAGAGCCAUAAUUACGCUCAUCAUUGCCUAACUUCGAUAUUCUUACAUCGGAACGAUCCGAACUUAAAUAUCAUACUCAACAGUCGUAAAUACAACCUCCCCCAACAUACGACUUAAAUCCUACGGNNNNNNNNNNNNNNNNNNNNAUAUUCCACAUUUAAAACCCCUAAAAAUCUCCUAACCGGCGGCGGCGCCGCCGGCGGCUCCGCCGGCAGCGGCGGCCGGAGGCUAAAUCCGGCGACCUCCAAAACCUAUGAAAUUUUGACAGAAUAAUCUCCUCAUCAUGCUCUACAACUUUCAUGACCAACACAUCACCCAAUUCCAAGCCUAACUAGGCUAAUCGAACGAAAACAACUUAAAAGCCUAGAAAUUUCAACUCCACAUUUCUCCUUACCUAGCUCAAGAGGGAGGGAGCUGCUUGGAGGGGUUGUUGCAUGGGAGGAGGGCUACAAAACCGUACCAAGCUUGCCCGGAUUGGUGGCCGGAGGAGGAAGUUCCGGCGAAGUGAAGCUUUGGACAGUCGGACCUUUCGGGUGGCACCGCUCUCUCACGGCGGAGCUAGGGCUUCUCUCACCGGUCCAGGGAGGUUGCUGGGUUGGAGGUCGACCGAACGGGACCGGUGCGGCGGCGGUUGGUGGCCGGACAGCGGCGGGAGGACGGCCGGAAAACCGGGCAGCGGGAGGCUCGGGUGCGGGAGGGGUGAGGAGAGAAAAUCGGGAGGAAAAAAGGAGUGGGUUUGGGCCUCACACCCCAAACCGGUCCAACCUAUAUCAACCCAAAUUCCAAAAAUAAAAACACCCCGAAAAAAUAAUACCCGAAUAAAAAUUACCUUUUACUAGCUAAAAUUUACCAUUUUUACCGUCGUCGUAUUUCCCUCAUACUAAUAAUCCUCCGCACAUAAUCGUCCCCGAAACCCCUCUAGGGACCAAUUAAACUGUUUACUCAAUGAUUGAGACGGUAAAAUUCUUAUUAUAAUCACGCUAGUAAAUAAGGUAAAAAUAUAAGGGUCGGGAUGUGACAACUACACCCUUCCAUAGAUUUUACGACUUAAAUCCAACGGCUGGAUUCUACCUUAUUAAUCUGCCACAAUUACUAAACUUUAAAAAUUCCCAAAUCUAUCCAAAACUCCUCCAAAAAUUCUAAAAUUCACAUCAAUAACUCCCAUUAAUAUAACCAAUCAAAAACCAUGAAAAUCCCCUAAAUAGCGGCAGCGGUGGCCCGAGGCCGACUCCGGCGACCUCCAAUACCUACCAAAUUUUGACAGCAGCUUCCUUUCAACUCCCUCUACAACUUUCUUAACUAGCACAACACCCAAUUCCAAGCCUAACUAUGCCAAUCGAACGAAAACAUCCUAGAAAACCCUAGAGCUUCAACACAAAAUAUCUCCUUAAUUACCUAGCUCAAGAGAGAGUGAGACCUUGGGAGGGGUUGCUGCACGGGAGGAGAGCUUUCUUUUAAGCUAAGCAGCUCCGGCUAUGGCGGCCGGAGAAGAGAGUUCCGGCGACGGAACCACCACGGCAGUCGGACCUGUUGGGGGAGAGAACUCCUUCACGGCGGAGCUAGGGCGGCUCUCACCGGCCUAGAAUGGAAGCUGGGUCGGAGGCCGACCAUUUGGGACCGGAGCGGCGGCCUACGGUGGCCGGACGGCGGCGAACUAAGCGGGGGAAAAUCCGGCACAGAAGAGGACUCGGGGGAGGGAAAUCGGGAGAGAAGAGAGAGAAGUGAGGGGAGUGAUGUGGGCUUUUCCAACCGGUCCAACACCUUAUGCAAACCCAACUCCAUAAAUUUACACCCCAAAAUAAUACCCUAAUAAAAAUUACUUUUUACUAGCUAAAAUUUACCAUUUUUACCGUCGACACAUUUUUCUCCUACGAAUAAUUCUCCGAAAUAAUCAUCCCCCAAAACCCCGCUAGGGACCAUUUAAACUAUAAACUUAUUUACGAAGACGGUAAAACUCUUAUUAUUACUAAGAUAAUAAAUAAGGUAAAAAUUUAAGGGUCGGGAUGUGACACAUAGGCUUCUUAAAAGAAUGAUGACCAAUAGUGCAAGGGAUAGAAAAGCUACCAGGAUCCUUCACUUUUGGAGGAAGCUUCCGUUGUAACACCACACUCACUUCUUCAGAUAGCAUAACAUUUUCAUGCUCCUCAAACUUUCUUUUAUUCGUGCAUAACUCCUUCAAGAACUUUGCAUACGCAGGAAUUUGACUAAUUGCAUCAAGAAGAGGAAUGGUAAUAUGCACCUUUUUGAACAUAUCUAGAAUAUCCAUCUUAUGCUUGUCAUUCUUCUUCUUCUUUAAACAUUGAGGAUAUGGGAUAGGAGGCAUGUACAUAUUCGCUGGAGUAGACUUUUCAGAUGUAUUUGGAGCAGUAGGAAUUACUUUUUCUUGAACAGACCCUUCUGGGAGUGAAACAACACUGUGAUCCUGAGGUGUGUAAGCUUCAAGUUCUUCUUCUUGCACGUUUUCCUCAUUGCUGCCCACCUUAUUAUCAAUCACUCUUCCACUCCUCAAGGUGGUAACCGAAUUUAUAUGCUUAUGGCUACCUGGAUUGAUAUCGGUUUGACUCGGAAAUUUCCCAUGUUCUCUUUCACUUAACCUCGCAGCUAGUUGCCUCAUUUGUGUUUCAAGCUUUGAAAUAGAAGCUCCUUGGCUGUUCACUUUGCUUGCAAGAGUAUCCACUGUGUUAGACAAGUACUGAGAGUGUUGUUCCUGGCUAGCCAUGAAUGCUUUCAAUGUUUCUUCAAGUGAGGAUUUUGGGAGUUUGGCUCGUGCUCCUUGAUAUAAUCUAUGUGAAGGUCCAGCACCUUGAUAACCUUGAUUGUUCCUCCAAGAAUUAUUUGGAGGGUUUUUCCAUCCCGAAUAUUGAUCACUCCUCGGCCUUGCAUUAAAAUCAUUCACUUGUUGCACUUCUUCUAGCAUUGAAUUUGAGGGACAUUCAUCAGUGUCAUGGGUGAAACUUGAACAUAGAGCACACGUCUCCUUCACCUUGCUCAAAAGUUGAGUAAGCCCUUGUAGUUGCCUCCUCAGAGCUGCAACUUCUUCCUCUAGACCUCCUUGUGCUUUUACCCCCUCUUUUUGCUAUUGGAGCUUGCAUUCUACCCCUUGGAUUGUAAUCCCAAUGCUAAGAAUUUUCACAUAUGCUUUCAAAUGCUUCAAUGGCCUAUUCUGCUGUUUUCUCCAUUAAACUCCCACCCACUGUUGCAUCAACCAUUGCUCUAGAUUGGGGUGUAAGUCCUCUGUAAAAGUAGUUAAUUUUCUGCCAAGGUUCAAAGCCAUGAUGAGGACAUUGCAAAAACAAAUCCUUGUAACACUCCCAUGCAUCAUGAAAGGGUUCGUCAACUUCUUGAGCAAAGGACAUAAUCUCAAAGAUUAAUGCAUUCGUCUUGCGAGCUGGAUAAAACUUGCUAAGAAACUUUUUAGACAAUUCCGCCCAAGUGGUGAUGGAGCCUUGCGCAAGAGAGUCGAGCCAACUUUGUGCUUUAUCUUUCAAAGAAAACGGGAACAUGCAAAGUCGAAUCUGCUCCUUGGUGACUCCUUGAUAAUUGAAUGUGGAACAUAUAAUAAAGAAGCCUUUGAGAUGGUUAUAGGGAUUCUCAUUCUCCUUCCCACAGAAUAUAGGCAGAAGUUGGAUUGUUGCUGGACGUAUCUCAAAUUGCUGCGCAAUAGGUGCCAAAACAAUACAAGAAGGCGCAUCAUAGGUUGUUGGUGCAAUAUACUCACGCAACUUCUUUGGUGGAUCAUUGUUUACCGACGCAUGAUCACCCAUUGUGGAUUGAAGUGAUUGAACAACAGGUUUCUUCUUCUGCUGAUUGCGUUGUCGAAAAGUCCUCUCAGGUUCAAGAUCAAAACACUACCAGAAGAAAGGUUUUAGCCGACGAAAAUAAAAAAACCAGGCCGACGAAUUAUUUUUUUGUCGGGUAAAGUCCACUUUAGCCGACGAAAUAAUUUCCCUUCAUCGGCUAAUUUAAAAUUUUCGGCGGCUAUGGUCAACUUUAGCCGAUGAAAUUAAAAUUUCGUCGUCUGAAUAAUUUUUUUCGUCGGCUAUAGUCUGUAAACUUUAGCCGAAGAAAUUUUUAAAAGUUUAGCCAACGAAACAUAUAAUUUCGUCGGCUAAAGUGCCUUAUAUUUGCAGAUCUGGACAACAAUUCAUCAGGGAAAAAAAACUAUACGUAGAACCUUCAAACGCAAAAAAGUCGUGAAAUAAGAUAUGACCAGAAUGAUGAAAUACGUCUACAGUUGAAAAAUCACGGUAUUCCGGUAAAGUCUCGGUGCCGAUAGUUGCGGUCAAUGCAAUUUACCCUUAUUAUUCGUUAUGCUGCAGAUUUGGUUUUUGGUGUCUGAUUGAUUAUUGUGAUACAUUUCCGGAAGCGUAAUGGCCCUACGAGUCAAACUCAUGGCUAAUGCUAUGAUGUAUGGGCAUUUUUGGCCAUCCGAGUCCGUUUAGGGCUUCAAAAUAUAGUUUUCUUAUUUCCGAUUAGAGUUGACCAUUUCGAUCGAGCCCUUAACGUUGUCGAAUCUAGUUGAAUUUUUUGCCAUAGACAUAUUUCGUCAUAAUGAUCAUAUAUGACAAUCGAAUUUUGGUUUGUGAAUUUUAGUCAUCGGAAUCACGUGUAUUACCGUUAUUAUUCCCUAUGGGGAACCCUAUCGUCGGAAGGUAAAUGUCUCAAAAUUUUUAUAUGGGCAGUUGCGUCUCAUCUACGUGAGAGUUUUUCGUGUGGAAGGUUUGACCAAACUACGUAAUAUAGAAAGAGAUAUGAGCGUUUUCGUGUAAUAAGUGACGUUGGAUUAGAGUUGACCGUUUCGAUCGAGCCCUUAACGUUGUCGGAUCCAGUUGCAUUUUUUACCAUAGACAUCUUUCGUCAUAAUGAUCAUAUCUGACGGUCGAAUUUUGGUUUGUGAAUUUUAGUCAUCGGAAUCACAAUGUGUCUACUAAUGUUGUAUAACUUCUUUAGUAGGUUAUACAACUUUGUGAACCAACUCUACAUAGGAAGCAAAAUUAUCAAAAAUCUCGUGAAAUAAGAUGUGUUCAGAAUGGUGAAAUACGGCUAUGCUUCAAAAUUCACGUAAAUUGGGUAAAGUCUCGGUGCCGAUAGUAGCGGUCAACCCUAUUUACCGUUAUUAUUCCCUAUGGGAGCCCUAUCGUCGGAAGGUAAAUGUCUCAAAAUUUUUAUAUAGGCGGUUGCGUCUCAUCUACGUGAAAGUUUUUCGUGUGGAAGGUUUGACCAAACUACGUAAUAUAGAAGGAGAUAUGAGCGUUUUCGUGAAUUUAUAGACUUUAGCCGAUGAGAUAUUAAAAAAGUCGUCGGCUAAAGUCAAAAAUUUUAGGCGGUAAUUUUCAAAGGUCUUUAGUCGACGAAAAUAUAUGAUUUCGUCGGCUAAAGUCGAAAAAUUUUCAAAAUUUUCAACCAAAUUUUUUUGGCGGUCAACCAAAAUUUUCAAAAGAGUUUAGCCGACGAAAAUAAAGAAUUUCGUCAGGUAAAGUUCUUUAUAUAGGAGUUAUACCGGAGGUGGAUGGUAAGAAGUCUGUUUCGUCUGCCGAAUUUUCUUCUCGGCCAAGCUCCGCCGUCAAGCCACCGGAGACCGCCACACUUGUCCCAAAAGCUUCGCCGUCGUCUCUACUUCAUUGCUGGACAAGUGGUGCAUCGAGUGGCGCCGCCGUGAGAAUUAAAUCGAGCUCCAAAACUCCGCCGGUUCGAAUUCGGUGUCGAUCGAAUUUCUCCUUCCUCAGGUCACUAUUUGGUGAGUUCUAUAUAUGGAUAAGUUGAGUUUGAUUAGUACUACAUUCCUAGAAUUUGGUAGCUCGAUUCGGUGUGUGUGAGGAGAAUCGAAGGUUUGAAGUUUUUAGGGUUUAAAAUUGGGGAUUUUUAUAUUUUGAUUCAAUUGACCUGUUUAGGCUUAGAAUUGGGCUUCGACUUCUUCUAGAAAGUUGUUCGAAAUGUUGAGAGGAAUAUUCUAUCAAAUUUUGGUGGUGAUUGGAGGUGGCCGGAAGUUUCUGUAGUUUUUUUUUCAAAAACCAGCAACUUUAGCCGACGAUAUUUAAAUACUAUAUUCGUCGGCUAUAGUAUUUUUAAUUUUUUUAUUAAGGUUUUAGNNNNNNNNNNNNNNNNNNNNUUUUUAAUUUUUUAUAAGGUUUAGCCGACGAAAUAGACUAUAUUUCGUCGGCUAUAGUUAUUUUUUAAUUUUUUAUAAGGUUUAGCCAACGAAUAUCUUAAUUAUUUCGUCGGCUAAAGUCCGGAAAAAACCGACGACAUGUUUUUCGUCGGCUAAACUGUGAGACUAUAGCCGACGAAAUUUUUUUUUCUCGGCUAAAGUCAUUGCCGACGACCUUUUCCCGACGAAAUCUUAGCCGACGAGUUAAGUUAACAGGCCGACAAAAUUUUUUCGUCGGUUAAAAUGCUUGUCCUGGUAGUGAAAGGUUCAAGGUCGAGGCUGCGAGAACGUCGUCCUUGCAUAAACAUUGGAAAGAAUUUGAAUGAUUGUGCCUACAAGCUGAAAAGAUCUUGGUUAUAUAGACACACGGUGAGACAAAGAAGAGAAAAGAUCAAAUCCUAAUUCUAAAAGUAAAGGGAAUCCUAAAAGGAAAGGAAGAGAAAAACGAAUUGGUAUCUCCAAAACAGUUUAGUUCUCAGCUUUGACCUCCACCCACUGUUCUGUGAAUAACGUUUUGCUCAAGUAUCGGAUUCAUGAUCCGCUUCUUCUGUUGGAAACUAGACUCAAAGAGCUUUCUAGUAAUAUAUAAUACUCUGGUACCUGUUGAACAGAAGAUAGUCAGAAUGCUUGUCGAAAACUAGGGACAGUAGCUUAAUCAAAACUGAAUAGAUCACUGUUCAAUCAAUACACACAAAACAAAACAAUGACUAAAAACAACCGAAACUAAAACACUAAUAAAAAAAACUAUGGCAAUAUAGCUAAAACCAAAGGUCAAUUUUCGAUCCCCGGCAACGGCGCCAAAAACUUGUUGUCAAAUUUUAAUAACUUCGUAAGUGCACGAAUCGUUUGUAGUAUAGCUUAUAUGCAAAUACGAGAUCGUUCCAACUAAGAAUGGAUAACUAACUUUCAACUCUAACUAAUGACCAAAUUAACAAGAAAACAAGAAGAUAUUUUUGUGAUUUUUGUGAACAAUAAAAAAAAGAGUAAAACAAGCAAAUUGAGAAUGUCACACAAGAUAGUUGAGAAAGAUGUUUUGAAAAGUUGUAAAACAAUGAUGGAUGAAUGCUAGGAGUUCUAACUUCACCGUCACAAUCUUAUUCGAGUUCCUAGUCUUCCGAUUACUAACUACUAAACCAGUGUUGAAGAAUCCGUCAUAUAAGUCUUAUGGCAGAGUACUUAUACGCAUAAGUUCUCCAAAGCAUGAAUACUACCUUAUGGCAGAGUAUAGUAUCCAACUAUUCUUAGAAGUAUGACAUCUACUCUCUAAGGGUCAAUGAAGUUCGAUGAGAACAAAAGGACUCACACAAACCAAUAAAACAUGACAUCUGUUUUUAUCAAUCUAUGGUUUCUAAUCACAAGAAGCAUUCAAGAUUCAGCAUGGGCAUCUACCUACUCUUGCAUCAGAUAGCUUAAAACAAAACCCUAAAGGUCGCGAGUCUCUAGUAUUUUGAAAUAAGCAACAAUUCUUAUAGAGAUUAAAAACUCAACACCAAUCCAAUAAUCAAGUAAUCAUCAAACUAAAAACAUCGAAUAGUCAUGUUAAGGAUCCAUUAUGAUCCUAACAAAAGAAUUAGCUACUAAGAGUCAUAACAAACACGAUGAUAACAAUGAAAAACAUGAAAAGACUAAAAGGGAAUAGAAAGGGAUGAAAGGUUGGUGAUGAUGGCUGUCUCCCAGUAUGUCACGUCCCGGAAGCUCCCUUCUUUUGGCCAUGGCUGUCUCUAUUUAUAAGACUCAAUUCCCAAUUUGGUUAGGCUUUCUUGUUCUUCUUGGACUUGGAUGAUGAUGUGGCAUUCUAAUAACAUAACUUGGGCCUUCAAGUUGUCUAUGAUGUUUCCAAAAUCUCAUUUGAAAUUUAUGUGCACGUUCAGGCUUCACAACAUGAGAUUGAUGAAAGACUUUGCACAUUCCAGUUCAUCUUGAGCUGCCUUUAGUGAUUCGGUGAAGUUGGCUGAUUUGUAGAGACUGACUGCCAUAAUCCUGGGAUUUCUACGCCUCUUUCAGUCUUUCCUGCUCCAAUUGCUUCUCUUUGGUCUUUGAACCUGAAAAACGACAAACUAAGUAAAAUUGACCUAAAUUACUUGAAAGUACAAUACAAAUCUAAGGUAUAAAGGUAUAAAAACAUAGCAUAUAAUGGAUACAUCAGCGUGCAACCCGCUGCUUAUAAACUUGGUUGUGCAAAUCGGCUCUUUCCCUCCUUUCCUCGAUGAGGUCAAUGUUCAACUGGAGGCCUUCCUCAUUGGUCGUGGCACCAUAGUUCUCGACCCUUCCCAAUGGUAUUGACGUCUCGAUUGGCAAGACAGCCUCCGUGCCAAAGGCCAUGCAGAAAUGUGUUUCUCCCAUUGAUUAUGUUGCUGUGGUUCUGAUUGCCCACAGUACCUGUCAGGACCCACCCCGAAUUUCACCCUGAAACCCGAAGUAAAUCUUGCUGGGUCCACCUUCAAGGAAAAUUUAUAGAAAAUUCGGCAUAAUCUACCUUGAAAAUAGACAACCCUUACUUGAAAAAUUCCAAAUAAACACUGCUAUUAUAAAUCAUCCAUCCUCAACUCCUGGAGCCUUCUUGCUCCCCCAAGUUCACAACAUCUCCUAAAAUACAUCAAGCCUUAAUCAAUGAAAAACAAUCUCAAAUGGUCAUCAGAGCAUAUCUAUAAUGAACGAAAAACAAUGAAUAAAGAAUAAGCGAAAGCUGCCUCGGACUAUGCCUCGACUCCAUGUACGCUCGACCUCAAAUAACUUAGCCUGCUAACUGGGCAUUUAAAAACCAAAGGGCCCAGGGGAAAGUAAUUUAAAAAUGUUAGAGUGAGUUGACAAAAAUAAAUUAAAUAACUUAGCAAAUACAUAAUUUAUAUACUUUCCCAUGUUUCAACUUUAAAACUUGGUUGCACGCAACUUUGAACGUCCUUAAAAAUUUAAAUCCAAAUUCACUUAAUAAUGGAGUUAAUUAAAACAGAAAUCUCAUAAUGAGGGAUAAACCAGCCCCGCUGGUUAAUCUAAUACAUAUUGAAAAAAAAAUAAAACAAGGGGAAGAGAUAUCACCAUGUAAGAGGAGCCUCCCAGGCUAUAAUAGCGUCCCACGCUAAGCGCUCGACUCACCUAUAGUGAGGACCGCUAAUAAAGACUAGCUAGCAAUAAAUAAUAAUAUCCGAUCGGUGUCUCCCAAACUAUAGUAGUGUCCCACGCUAAGCGCUCGACUCACCUACGGUGAGGAAUAAAGGCAAGCUAGUAAUGAAAUAUGAGCGACCCUAUAAUAUGGUGACUAAAAAUAUACGAAAUCACUUCAAUCCAUAAAGCUUCCCCAAGAUCAUUCGAAUGGUACGGUUCCCAACCGUACUUGAAAAUUAUCAUAAGAAAUUUUUAAAUAAAACUCGAUGACGUGUCUCACACGUCAAAAUAUUAUCAAAAUCCACAAUUUUUGUAAUACCCCGGAAUUUUGAUAUUAGUUUCUAAUAUUAUUUGGGAAUUUUCGAGUUAGAAGUUAGUGUGUUUUGAGGUUCGAAGGAAGAGCGGAGGUGUUCGAGAGAUUUCUUUGUUGAAAAUGCUUUAUUUUGAAGAGUGAAGAGUUGACUUUUUAUCCAUAAGUUAUUUUCGAAAACUUCCUUCAUGAAAGUUGUACAGUUUGGCGAUACGAGUUCGUAGACACGUGACACACGUAAAACAGAUGUCUUAUGAGAAAGUUAUGGUCAGAUGAAGUUAGUUUCCAGUUUUGGAAAUGUGUAUAAGUAGAAAAAUGUGUGUGGGUUAUUUUUAGAAACCAUAAAUUGCAGCAGCCCCGUUUCAGUCUCUCUCUCUCUCNNNNNNNNNNNNNNNNNNNNUCUCUCUCUCUCUCUCUCUCUCUCUCUCUCUCUCUCUCUCUCUCUCUCUCUCUCUCUCUCUCUCCCGUCUCCAUUUUCACCCUCAAACUUCUUCCGUCCAUAACUUGGCCAUUCGGUGACGGAUUUGGGCGUGCUUGGUAUCGUUGGAAAGCUCUCACUCCCCUCUUUCUAUUCAUACCAGCCUCACACCCUAUGGAGCACUGUGCACGGCGUAGCAAGGCCCGCAAGUUACUGCUGCCACCGGCGGUGAAGCUCUAACCGAUUUCGGCGACAUCGAGGUUUGAGGCUCUGGAAGUUCUUUUCCUUCUGAGCAUGAUGAUACCAGCCUUGAGCCCAAUUCGAAGCGUGGAGCUUUUGAGUUCAAAUUAAGUGCUCCUUGUUUCUUUCCGGCGACGUUUCCGGCCUCUUUUCGGCCGAAUUGGCUUUGGCCACAGGUAUGAAAAGUGUCCCAUUUGAUGUGUUUUACAAGUUUCAUGUUGUGAGUUUUCCCAAAUUUUGAAGUUGGUGGAGCCGCGUGGGGCUCACUCGCCGCCUCUUGUGGCGGCGCGUGGGAGCGCGUCCGGGCAAUGUGAGGGGCUUUGGUUGCUCUGUUAGCUAGUCCUUGUAAUUGCUAGUGUGUUGUUGUGUGUAAAGGCUAAGUGUUGAUUAGGUUUUACAUCUUGGUGCUAUGUUAUUAUUUGUGUUAGUUAGGUUGUAAACUUUGAAAGUUUGAACUGGGAGGCAGCAGGGUAGUUGUCGAGUGUCCAAUGACCUUGGGAGGUUUUGGAGGAAGGAUUGCGCUCCUUUGGGUAACCUUUAGGCUAAGGGUUGGUUAAGGGUACUUUGAUCCUUGUUGAGUGGUUACGUACUAAGGUUAUAAUUUUGUGCUAAUUAGGUAGCUUGUGGAGUUGUUUGUGAGUUUGUUCCUUGUGUUUUUGGUGAAGACGCAACGGGAUUUAUUAGGUGAAUAAAUCUCACCAAGGUUCACUUUGGGAACAAUUAUUUAUGGUUAUUGUGAUGAUGAUUGUGAUGAUGAUUAUGAUGAUGGUUGUGAUGAUGAUAAUGAUUAUGAUGAUAAAAUGAUGAUGAUGAUUAUGAUGAUUAUAAUUUAAAAAUUAUGUUUUUGUUUGUUUUAAAAUAUAUGAGCUUAAUCGCCAACGGCUCAUAGGUAAGUUAAAACAAGUUUUCCUAUUAUAUGAUUAUUUUUAAGGUUUAUGUGAUCAUAAUGUUUUUGGCUAUUGAUAGAUUAUUCUUGUGGGGAUCAUAAUGUUUGUUCGUAUAAAUAUAUCUAUGUGGAAGGAUAUAAUUUUUAUGAUGUGCUCCUUGUGUUGAUUGAUGAUGAUUGUGAUUUGUGGUUUAAAUAGUUAAACCGGGUUCUAAGUCUUUAAUCGGGUAAUUGGUUACGGUUAUGAUGAUUCUACUCUAUUAUGAUUUGUUGUUUAAAUAGUCAAACCGGGUUCAAAACCUUUAAUCAGGUGAUUGGUUACGGUUAUGAUGCUAUUAUUAUUUUGUGAUUUGAUAUUGGACAGUCCAACUGGGUUCCAAGCCUUUGGCCGGGUGAUUGGUUACGGUUAGGAAUAGAGUUCUAGUCCGUCUGUCGGUGUAGGUCAUGGGAGGUACCUUAAGGUAUCUGGGACCCAUGGGUACAUAAAUUGUUGUUGUAGGUCAUGAGAGGUAUUUAUUAAUAUCUGGGACUCAUGGGUACAUGUGUUUGUUAUAGGUCAUGGGAGAUAACUUAUUGGUAUCUGGGACUCAUGGGUACAUGUAUUUUGUAAAGUAUUGGUUAUGUGAUUUUAACUUUGUUAUUAUUUGUUGUCAUUUAACUUCUCUCCUGAACUAUGCUUAAUGCAAGAGAUUCUUUAAUCUUAUUUGUGUGAUUUUUAGUAGAAUUCCUGAAUUAUUCUUUUUGCAGGAUUCACUUAUGAUUUUGAUUCUUUUGUGAAUUGUUGUGUUUUAUUAUAUAUUCUCUUUUGAAUUUUAUUGUUUUGAGGCGAUUCCUGCACUAAGUUCUAAAGCAGGAAUUAUCAGUUUUAUCUUGUGUAAUGUUGGGUUGAGUUAUUUUUAGGAGUUACUCAUACGGGCUUUUUAGCUUACCAGGUUUGUUGUUUACAACCCGGUGCACCAACUCAAAUAUAUUUCAAAACUAUAUCAUAAUCCGAAAUUAUAAUAUAAGCUGUCACAUCCCGACUCUUAAAUUUUUACCCUAUUUACUAGCUUAGUAUUAAUAAGAGUUUUACCGCCUUCGUCAAUGAGUUUAUAGUUUCAAAGGUCCCUAGAGGGGUUUUAAGGGACGAUUAUUUCGGAGGAAUUAUUUGUAGGAGAAAUAUUUGACGACGGUAAAAGGGUAAAUUUUAGCUAAUAAAAAGGUAAUUUUUAGUAGGGUAUUAUUGUUGCGGUGUUUUUAUUUUUGGAGUUGGGUCUUAAGUGGGUUGGAACCAAUUUGGAAGCCCAAACCUUUUUCUCUGUCUCUUUUCUCUUUCUUCUUCUCUCUCUCUUCUUCCCGAGCCGUCUCUCUGCCGGAAUUUCUCGAACUCGGUCUGCCGCCGUCCGGCCACCACAGACAGCCGCACCAGUCCCAAACGAUCGGCCAUCAUCUCCUCUUCCUUCCUGGACCGGUGGCAACCUCUCUGGCGUUGCUGUGAGGGAGAUAUCAUGCCCGAGAGCUCCAGUCGUCCGUGGUGUUCCGUCGCCGGAACUUCCUCCUCCGGCCACCAAUCCGGGCAAGCCUUAUAUGGUUUUGAAGGUCUUCAACCCAGUAGCCUUUCCCUAAAAGGACUCGAUCCAGUUUGCUUCAGGUGAGGAGAAUCGGUGAGUGGAAGUUCUAGGGUUCUUGAAAUAUUUUUGUUCGAUUGACCUAGAUAGGCUUGGAAUUGGUGUUUGUGCUAGUUAGGAAAGUUGUAGAGUGGGUUGAGAGGAACAUGCUAUUAAAUUUUGGUAGGCAUCAAAGGUCGCCGAAGUCAGCUGCCAGCCGCCAGCCGCCACUGCCGGCGGAGCCGCCACUGUGAAGUGGUUUUUCAGGGUUUUUAGUUUGUUGUAUUAAGGGGAGUCUAUUGUUGUAAAGUUUGGAAUUUUUGGAGGAGUUUUGAUUAGAUUUGGAAUUUUUCAAAGACUGGUGAAUUUGGCGGUUAUUGGGGUAGAAUUUGACCGUUGGAUUUCCCUUAUUAUUGUUUUAGAAUGUUGAGAUAAAUGAAAUGAGGCUGUGGUUGAACUUUGGCGUGAAUCCGAUAAGCUUAACCCUAGAAAGGGUAGUGGGUUAGGCGGAAGAGUUUUGGGUUAUAUAUUUAAGUUUUUUUUUUUCUGAAAUUGAGGUUUGGUCUUAAGCAUGGUUUUUGUGCUAGGAUUUGAGGAGACCUCACUUGAGUGGCGAAUUGGAUUUCGUCAGGCUUAUGCCUAAAGUUGUGAGUAGACUUUUGUUUUAAUUAAAAGCAUGCGAUGCAUUAUAUUGUUGAUAAGUUAUUCUUCUACUGAAAUUUAUUGCUUGCUCUGAUAUUUAGCAAUUUUCCUCUCUUGGAGAGUUACCAAAAAUGAGAUUUUCGGUGGAUAUGUAUAUUGGAUGUUUAUGGGUAUAGUAUGUAUAUAAAUGCUAGCUAGCUUGUCACACCCUGACCCGGAUGUAUUUUUUUUUCUUGAGUCGAAAGUGUGACUAGAAAAUAAAAAUAGGAUGGAAAAACAAACCAAGGAUAGUUUGAUGUUUCAGAAAAAUAUGCAGCAGAGCUGUAACUUUGAAAAUUCAUAACUAAUUCUAGAAAACUUAUUUUCAUGAGAUUCUAACUCUCAGUUGAUCUUUAAGAUGUCUACUGUAACUUUCAUGAAGACACCAAGUGCAAACAACUAACCAAUUUGUACAGUUUUUAGAAAGAAGGUAACGGGUCAAAAAUCUCAGAAAAAUACAGAUCUGCAAAAUUUCCUGAUGCAGACCCUAAACUUUGAAAAAUUAUAACUCAAUCUACAAAAAUCGUUUUCAAGUGAUUCAAAUUCUGGAAUGAACCUUAAGAUGUCUACUACAAUUCUUAUGAAGGAACCAACUUCAAAUUCCAAACAAAACUGUACGGUUUUCAGACGAAAGCUAACUGAUGCAGAAUCUUAGAAUUUCAAAUAUUACAGCUGAAAAAUAAUUAACCAAUUUGAAGAACUUAGAAUCAAUAAGUGCAUAAUCAAUUCAAUAAAGAUGUCAUAGAUUACAAUACAAACUUGCUUCAUAGUUCAUCAUUCCAACUGAAAUUAAAACAUAAGCUUAAAAAGCAAAACCACAAGCCGGUAGCCUUUUGCUCUUAUUCUAGACAAAAAAUUAAAGAGAUAAUCCACACACUUUCAUCACAUCAUGCAAAAAGCUCUUCAACAGAGAAACCUAAACUUCAUGUUCAAUACCUGCACAAUAUUCUUAACGGUGAGCAACGCUUAGUAGGAGGCUAGUCCUCUUUAAACAACAUAUGCCAACCAUAACAAUGCAUGAAUGCAAUGAUCCCUUCAAUAAUAACCCCCUCACCCAAACCAUGAUUCCCUUUUUCUUGCUUAAUCUCGAUCACCAAAGUCAUACAGCCAUAUUAGCCCACCUGAUACUUGGUCCCUACGAAUUAAGCUCAACUACCCAAAAACAUUCUCUCAAAAAUCUCAUUCCCAAUUUCACCAAACUCCUGCCUCAAUUUUAUAUUCAUGAACAUGUUGAUUAACUAAGAAAAUUUCACCAAUAACACCUGAUCAAUAGUUCCACAAUCAAGUUUCAUAAACAACAUCAUAUAUAACAACACAUCAGCCAGAAACACAUCAAUUACACAUAGCUUCAAAAAAACAAAUAACAAACAAAACACAUAUAGAAUACCAACAAACAAAACACAAUAUCAAAUAGAGGUUCCCGAGAUCCCCCUACCUCAAUUCUAAAGGUAUGCUUUUGAGAUACCCUCUUGUUCUCAACGGCAGCCGGCCACCCAAAAUUCAACCACCUCCAAUGGCUACCAAAUUUUGACAAAAUCUUCCUCUCAACAUUCCAAACAACUUUCAUAACUACCUCAAAGUCCAAUUUCAAGCCUAACUGGGGUAAUCGAAGCCAAACAUUAAAAAUCCCAAAUUUAAAACCUUAGAAUUUCAAACCUUCGAUUCUCCUUACCUAGCUUGAGUUAGGUCGAAUCCAUUUAGAGAUUUGCUACUGGAAGGGAGAGCUUCCAAAUAAUACCAACAGCUCCGGUUAUGGUGGCCGGAAAAGGAAGUUUCCGGCGAAACUCCACCACUCACAGCCGUGGCUUUCAGGACUGAUUUCCCCUUCAUGGCGACACAACACGACCAGCCACCUACCUAGACUUGAAGAGGAUGUUCCAAGCUUCGAUUUGAUACCUAGCUCGCCCCCUAACUCGGUCGGACGGCGGCGGACGGAGGCGAUGAAGUUCCGGCAUAAAUUCUGGAAUUAUCCCGAAAAAGGGGUUUGAUUUGCUAUUUAUAGAACUUGAGUUUCCUAUGAAAUUACCAAUUUGCCCCUAACUUUAAACCCUUGAAACUUUUUCGUACAAACUCCGAUUAAAACGUGCCACAUAUCCACAAACUCGAUUUAACGUCCUCUACGACUUUCAUGAAGAAAGUUUUCUCAAUUUUCGAACGAAGGAAAAAGUCAAAUUUUAGAGCCACUAAAAGCUUGAAUACAAAGGUAAAAGUAAAAAUAUGAUGCUCAUUUACGGUCCAAGUGACGGUAAAUGGUCAAAUAAGGUCUGGGGAGUUACAGUACCUCCGGGAGCUUCUGGGCCCACAGACCCUUGGUGUCAUCAAACUUCUUCUUUAAAAGUUUUUUAAUGAUUUUGUUAAUUGCCUCCACCUGACCAUUGGUCUGCGGGUGUGCCACCGAUGCGAAGACCAUCUUGGUGCCCCUUUCCUCUGUGAACUUGAUCAGAUGGUCAUUGUGAAUUGCAUUCCGUUGUCCGUGACGAUUGUCUCCAAGACCCCGAACCUGCAGUAUAUGUUUUUCAUCAAGGAAUUCUUCACGCACUCGGUGGUUAUCUUCCCCAGGGGCUCCGCCUCCACCCAUUUCGUGUAAUAGUCAACGGCUACUAUCACAUACUUAAACUGCCCUGUGUCGUUGGCAGCUUGUCGAUGAGGUCCAAGCCCCACUGUGCAAAAGGUCAAGGCGACAGUAGGAUUGAUAAGGCAAUAGGAGGGGAAUGUGUCUCGUUAGCGUGUAAAUGACAUUUAUGGCAUCUCGCCGAUAUUUUAUCCGCCAUGGGGCCCAUGUUGGGCCAGAAGAACCCUAUUCGAAGUGCCUUAUGCGCUAACGACCGGGAUCCAGAGUGAUUCCUGCACACUCCCCCAUGUAUUUCCCCCAUGAUCGCCUCUCCUUCCUCGGCUGUUACACAUUUCAGGUUUGGAAAACUGUAACCUCUGUGAUAAAGCUUCCCGUUCAUGAGUGUGUAUCUAGCACAUCUUAACUGCAGUUUUCUUGCUUGUCGCCUGUCCUCCGAGCACACCCCUUCCUUCAUGAACUCAAUUAUGUGAUCCAUCCAUGUGGGUUCUCCGGGUCCCGCGUCGACCAUAAAUAUCUCCGAGAUGGUUUUGCUUAUGCUUGGCUUUCCUAACACCUCGAUCCUUGCUUUCUUUCUCCCUUUCCCAGGUCCUCCGGUGGCUAAUCGGGCCAGGGCGGCUGCAUUGCCGUUUCUCUUUCGUGGGAUGUGAGAGAGGGAGGCCGACUUGAAGCGCUGCAUGAAGGCUUUGGACAGUACUUGGUAAGAGUUUAACUGAGGCUCCUUUGAUUCUAAGCUCUCGUUGACUUGAUUUACAACCAACUGUGAAUCACUAAACACUUCCACUCUCUCCACGCCAAUGUCUCGGGCGAGUUGCAAUCCACCAAUCAAGGCUUCAUACUCCGCCACAUUGUUUGAGGCGUUGAAUUGAAAUUCCAGGGCAUACUCAUAUUUGAAUCCAUCGGGGGUCUCCAAUAUAAUUCCCGCCCUGCUUUUCUUUUUCGUCACCGAGCCAUCAACAUAUAGCUUCCAAACGGGUGUUGGUGGCUCCUUCUCCCGUACCUCUCCCUCUUCUUCCUUGAGAUUACUCGCUGGCUCUUCCGCUAUUUCUACUUCCCCAAGAUUACUCGUCGGCUUUUCCGCUACUUUCAUGGGCGUGAGCUCAAAGAUAAAAUCUGCUACGGCCUGCCCUUUAAUAGCUAUUCUCGGUCAGUAGUGGAUGUCGAACUCUCCUAGCUUGAUUGCCCAUCUUACCAACCACCCGCUGAUCUCUAGCUUUUGCAUGAUCUGUCUCAAGGGAUGGUUGGUAUAAAGGGUUAUGGAGUGUACCUAGAAGUAGUGCCUGAGCCUUCUAGCGGUCACGAUGAGUGCUAAAGCUAAUUUUUCAACGUCUGGGUACCUGCUUUCUAUUGGUGUGAAUCCUUUCCCAGCAUAAAACACCGCAUGCUCGAUAUCAGACUCUCUUCUUAUUAACACCGAGAUAACUGCCGUCUGCGAUGCCGCAAUAUAUAGGUAAAGCAUCUCGCCCGGGAUCGGUUUUGACAAAACCGGCGCGGACGUGAGGUAUGCCUUUAUCUGUUUGAAAGUCUCUUCCUACUCGGGACCCCAUACUAUCUCCCUGCAUCGCUUGUCUCUCAACAGCCGAAAGAAGGGGGCACACUUAUUCGUGAGUCGUGACACGAACCUCGCCAGGACGACGAUCUUCCCGGCCAACGACUGCACUUCAUUCGUUUCCUUGGGUGUUUCCAUAUCCAAAAUGACUUAGAUCUUCUUCGGGUUGGCUUCUAUUCCCCUCCGGCUGAUUAUAUGACCUAGGAAUUUCUCUUUGAUCACCCCGAAUAUACAUUUCUGAGGGUUCAAUCUCAUCCCGUACCUUAGUAUCACCUCGAAGACCUUCUCUAGGUGCCCCAGAUGCUCCUCGGCCAUUAGACUCUUGACCAGUAUGUCAUCGACAUAUACCUCCAUUAUUUUCCUCAGGUACUCGGCGAACAUGACAUUCAUCAGACGCUGGUAGGUGGCUCCCGCAUUCUUAAGUCCAAAGGUGUCACAUCCCGGUUCUUAAAUUAAAUUACGGUUAUUUACUAUUGGUAUUACUUUGGCCUUUUACCGUUUUAAAAAACCGUUUAUUAUUUAAGACUCCAAAAGUUGACUUUUCUUCUGUUUGGAAUUUGGGAAAACUUUCCUCAUGAAAGUUGUAAAAGACGUUAAACAGAGUUCGUGGACAUGUGGCACGCUCAAAUCAGAGUUCGUAUGAAAAAGUUAUGGUCUAAAAACGAAAGUUACUAUUUUGGUUGGGGGUAAAUUUUUGGUAGGCUUUAUUUUUGUGUGGGUAUUAAAGUUGGACCGGGUAGGAGAGGCCCAUCUCUUCUCUUCCUUCUCUCUCUCUCCCCCGAAUUCUUCCCGACCCGUCGGACGUUCCCCCUCAGUUCGCCGCCGUCCGGCCACCACAGACCGCCGCAUCGGUCCCGAUCGGUCGGUCCUAGAUCCAGCUUUCUUCUUGGACCGGUGGGAGUAGCCAUAACGCCGUCGUGAGAGAGGGAGUCCGUCGCCGGAAUUCACUCCUCCGGCCGCCAUCGCCGAUGGCUCGGGUCUCAUUUGGAAGUGCUCUUCGUGUGUAACAAUCCCCUAGAAGGUAAUUAACCAACUCGAAGUGUGUAGGAGGAUUUUCGGUCUAGGGUUUGAAUUGAGGAUUUUCAGAUAUUUUGAUUCGAUUACCCUAGUUAGGCUUAGAAUUGGACUAAGUGCUAGUUAUAGAAGUUGUUGUGCAUGUUGAGAGGAUUGUUGUGUUAAAAUUUGGGAAGCAUUGGAGGUCGCCGAAGUACGCCUGCCGGUCACCGCUGCCGGCGGAGCAGGCGGUGGCGCCGACCCUUAAGGGUGGUUUUCUAUGUUUUUGAGCUUGUUUUAAUAAGAGGAGUUUAAUGAUAUGAAGUUUGGAAUUUUUGGAGGAGUUGUGGUUAUGUUUGGGAUUUUUCAAAGAUUGAGAAUUUUGGUGGUUGUUAGAAUGAAAAUCGAGCCGUUGGAUUUCCUUGGUAUUUAUUCUAAAAUGUUAGAAUCGAUGAAUUAAGGUUGUGGUGGAGUUUGGUGGGAAUCCAGUGAGCUUAACCCUAGUGAGGGUAGUGAAAUAAGCGGAAGAGUUUUGGUGUUUAUAUUUAAGUAUUAAUUUUCUAGAAUUGAAGUUUGGUUUUAAGCACUACAAAAAAGAAUUCAUUUAGCCACCGGAAAUCGCCACGGCUCGUAUUUGCCGUGGCCAUUGAUCCUAAAUUUGUGAUGGUGAAGCGACACCAAACAUACUGUCGCUAAAUAAAAACAAGUUUGCGACUGCAACAUCUUGCCGUAGCUAAAUAACGCAAAAUUCGUGACGGCAAACUGGCACCGUCGCGUCUGUUUUUAUCAGCGGCGACGACAGGUGAGUGCCGUGGCAAAAAACCAAUUUUAUUUCUGAUUUGCUGCUACGGUUGCGUUCGCCGUCGCCUGUGUUCUUUCAGUAUUAAUGGAAGGCGCCAAUUAUCCCGGUUUCCAUUUUGACAAAAAACAGAAGUCAAUUUUCUAAAACCAAAUUAAACCAACUCUCUUCAGACAUAACCCCUAUCCCACGAACCUAAUUCCUCUCUUCUAGAUAUCGCCCAUCCCCAUAACCCCCAUUUUGUCAAAUAUGUUGAAUGAAAUUGGGGUUGGCAGUGAGAAACUCAAAUCAGCGACGGUGGAAGGAGAGCGGAAGGAGAGCUUGUCGACGGUGGUUGGUAAGGCAUCGGCGGUGGUUGUAGAUUGGUAAGGCAUCGGCGGGUUUGCACUGGUGGUGGGUUUGCGCUGGCAGCGGCUUCUUCGGUCAAGUCGUGUCGAAUCUCUAGAGGUCGACGGCGUGGGCUUCUUCGGUCAACCUUAAUCGCCCAUCUCUUCCCUGCUCGAGCUCGCAGAAGGUAGUCUCUUCCCUACUCUUCCCUGCUCGAGCUCGCCCAUCUCUUCACUGAUUUUUUUAUGCGUUUUGUGGUUUUGUGAAUUGGGUUUGAGUUGGUUUUGUUUUGGAUUUUUUAUAGGUUCCAGAGGGGUCUGAAGCGCAAGCCGAUUUAAUGAUCAAGAAGCUUCGCAAAGCGGUGAGUUUUACUGUUAUUGGUUUGAUUAGUUACGGCGAAUGAAAUAUGCUGUUGUGAUAGAUUGGUUACAUUAUCGUUCAAGUAUUGAAAUUUUUGAUUCAUUGAGCAGUUUGUUUGAAGUUUACCAUUCUAUUUGCAAGUUUAUAUUAGAAUUUGUUCAUUGAGCAGUAUAUAUGUACUGGCGAUAUAUGAAACGUUUGAAGUUUUGGUAGUUGUCAUUGUAUUGACUGUAUUAUAACAAUAAUUUUGUAAUCAUUUUCUAAGAUCAGAUGACAGUACGUUGAAGUAUUGUAACAAGAAAAGCACAUGAAAUUAGUGAGUAAGUUCAGCUAUAUAUGAAGUUUGACCCGACUAUCGAUAUGUACAUCGUAGUGGCUUGAUUUUGAUGCAUGGAAUGGAUAUAUCAUAUAUACCCAGUUUCUUUUAAUCCUCCAUAAUUCUUAAAGGAAUUUUGUUAAGGUCAAUAGAAGCCUGAAUGGUUAAAGGAAUUCAAUAAUCAAUAUACAAUAAGCUAGGAAAUCGCAUGUGCUUAAAUUUAAUCUGAAUUUAGUCCAAAAUUUAACUAGGACUAAGAUUAUACGAAAAUAGACUAAGCUACAAUUCCUAGUUGCUUAGUUAUUCUAAUGAAGGAUAUACCAUGUUUCCUUUAAUCUGAUCAAGUUUGACCUGACUAUAUGUAUAAAUGGAGUCUUAAUAUGAUGAGGGAUACCCCGUUUCCUUUAAAUUAAACAAAUUUGUUUAGGUCAAUAAGAAGCGGUUAAAGUACGUAAACAACUGAUAAUCAAAUAGGGGUUUUAUGCUAUAUAUCAUUUCUAGGAAACUGUAUGCUUAAUUACGUAGAGACUUAUAAAACUGUGUACUGUAAAUUUGUAAAUAAGAAGGAUUUUGAGUUGGGGCUGGUUGAUGAGUCAUGUCCGACUUCUUAAUCAAAUGGUACAUCCAAUCAUUGUUAUAAUCCAUCAUAAAUAAUGAGAAUUAUCUGUUUUAGUCUGUUGCCUUUUGUGUGUAUUGUAACGUUGGGUUUCAAGUGCCCUGUUCAGUUCUAUACAAUUGCCAGCAGCAAAAAUGGUGAAGAACGAUGAGUAGAGGCUAAUCAUGGUUUUACUUAAAUUAGUCUGGGACAGAUAUGAUGAAACUAACAAAGGAUAAAGGCCAUCAAUCUUGUAGCUGCAGCCAUGAUCAUGAUUAUUUUCAUAUUCUGGCCCUCUAUGUAGGUGUUGUUACCAUUUGGUCUUUACUUCACGGGAUUUUUCUGAGUAAGAAGUUAAAAAUAUGAUGAGCAGAAUAAUGACAUGUGGUUAUUUGUGUGUGUAUAAGCAAGCAGACAGUUGAGUUAUGUUUGCUGUGUAUCUGUCAAGAACUACAAUUAUGAUUGCAACUUGCAUUUCUUGGUUGUAGUGCAUGUCUUUGUUCUGUUUUACAUUCUUGACUGAUACUUUAAUAAGUUAUAUUAAGUUAUAUUUUCAGAAUACUGUUUAAGUUCAUUUUAUAUUUUGAUUUGGUUUUUGGAUUGCUCAUUGCCGUUUCUGUUUCUGCAGCUCUCGUGUUUACCUUUUAUUUUAGUUGGUUGCUAUUCUGCUUAGUGUUGUCUUGCUCGGUGCAGCUUAUCAACAUUUAAAUUUGGUCUACAUGUGUAAUCAGAAUAGCAAUUUUAUAAAAGCUACCGGAUUGAUACAUAUGUAGAUUAGCUUCUUUUUCUGGUAGAUUAGCUUGAUAAAGAGAUAGCCUGAAUCAGUUUUUACAAAUACUCAGUUUUUUACUUAAAUUACCGAAAUACUCAAUUUUUUACUUAAAUUCAGAUAUGCUCAGUUCAGCUUUUUGGUUAUGUAUCAGUAGUGACUUUUUAAUUUAGUUUGCUCAGUUCAGCUAUAUACUUAUAUCAUGUAUAGUUACUUGCUCUAUUUGAGCAGUGUGCUGCUAUGUACUUGUUUAUCGUUGUAUACUAGUUGUAUAUUUAAUUUUGAUAUGCAUGUGAAACCAAUGAUUUCCCAAAAAUAUUGUGCCUUACUUCAGGGGUGUGAUUCUUUGGGAGGAUAACUGAAUCAAUUGGGAUGAGUGGGAUGUCAAAACAACUGGUUUUGAUGGGCAAGGUUAAAGAGAGCAUGAACAAGAGCAGUUAAUCUCUUUGUGAAUGGGAUCUUGCUUCUUGCAGUUGAUCUCUUUGUCAUGUGCAGUGGCAAUAUUUACUUAACUUUCUUGUAUUUGAUAUGCAAUGAAUUUGCUUAAGUGGGGUCAUGUGAGUAGUCAUUUGGUCAUUUAAGUACUGUAUUUGUGAAUAUUUUUUGUAUUUGUGCAUGAUUGUGUGUAUAUAUAUAUAUUUUAAGACUUUGGUUUGGGGAUUGAGAAAUAACUUUGGAAGAACAUAACUAUAUAGUUUGGGGUUUGAGUAGUAUACUUAGUAAGCUAUCUAUCUGUGUCUUCUGUUGAACAUGAAAACCCAUUUUCUUCUAGCUUAAUUUCACUUGUAGAAGCAAUGCAGAUAUUACUUGAGAGUUGAGGGUUGAGAGUUGAGAUAGAAAAUUAAUCUAAGUUAAAGUUUGGAUUCUUUAAGAAUACUUGCCUCACUACGCCUUUGAUUUCAGGCACACCAAAAUCAUCUCAAGUUGAAGAACUCGCCUUGAACUUGGAACCUUUUGUCUGAAGAUUGACUCAUCUCAAAUUGGGUAUGUGAAUGAAAACCUUAUCCCUCUCUCUCUCUCUCUCUCUUAAUUUAUGUUUUGGAUAUAUAUAAGAUGUUGGUUGUGAAAUCUGAAAUUCAUUUCAACUUCUUUUCAAAAUAUUGAGUGAAAAAGAUAAGAUAAGCCAUUUGUGUGUUUAUAGUGAAAACCUGCCCCUUCUGAGAGGAUCAUGAUUGUUUAAAUAUUUGUGUUCUAUAUUUAGUUGUCGCUUGUAUAAAAUGCAAUAGUCUUUACCUAAAAUUAAAAUAAUUGCAUAACAGGAUAAUAUAUGAUUGAAUUUUGGUUUAUAUGUCACCUCGAAAAUUGUAAUGCCUAUGAUAACCAUGAUCAUGUGAAUAAGAAAUGACAACAAAUAAAGCUAGGAGAGUGAAAGCUGAAAUGAUUAGAACUAUAUUGAGUCACUAUCCCAGAUGAAUCACCUAAUAUUUAUGAGCACAAAGCAAAAUUGCACUUAUGCAAAUUAGUGUUUGAUUAGUGGUGGGUUUAGUUGGGAUUAUAGUUCUGUCUCAUAGGUUGUUGAAUGAGUUCAAUUUAGAUGUGAAUAUUAUCAUUGUCAAAUUUUUGAUGUGGUACUAUAAUGCUCCAAGAAUUUUCGAUCAUGGGUUUGGACUAGUAAUUCAUUCAUUCAUAAUGGUUGGUGCUGGUUUUGUUUGCCUCUAAAAUACUCAGUCAUACUAAAUUUUUUGAAGGCUAGAAUAGUUAUUAUCGCAUAUAGUUACACUUUCAGUACGUGCUGAACUUUAUUAUUAAGCAUGUCAUACUCAUUCAUGCUUUGUUGUGUAAUCUGAAAUCUAUAGUUUACUUAUGCUUACUGUGUGCAUAUAUACUUCAGUAGGGAGAAAAAUGGACAAGUCAUGGAUUGAUUGGGGAACUAGAUGUUCUAAGCCAUACUAUGAGAAGUUAGAUGAGUUCUUGUCCUUUGCAUCUGCUAGUAAAGAUAUAAGUUCAAGGAUAUAUUGUCCUUGUAAAAAAUGCAAAAAUCGUGAUUUAUUUGUAAUAGAUAUUGUGCGAGAGCAUCUUCGAGAUAAUGGGUUUUGGAAGAAGUAUAAGAUAUGGGAGAAACAUGGUGAGUCUAGGGAUUAUGAUGGCUCACUGCAUAGAGAGGAAGUUCUUUUGGGGUCAGACGAUUAUAUGGAUGUAGAUAUGGUUCGACUAGUCCAAGAAGCUCUAGGAACUGCACAUGUUGCAAGACCAGAUGCUGAGAAUGGCGGUGAAGAAAAUUCAGAUCCUCUUGCUGGUGGCCCAAAUGAGACUACUAAAGAGUUCUUGAAAUUAAUGAAAGGUGCAAACCAGCCACUAUAUCCAGGUUCUAAGAAGCAUACGACCUUGUCAUUCAUUGUCCGAAUUCUAGAAGCGAAGGUGUCAAAUGGAUGGUCUGACACUUCUUUCAAGGAUAUGCUUGAUAUAUUUGAGGAGUCUAUGCCAGAAGGUGUAAACCUUCCUAAAUCCUACAAUGAAGCUUAGAAGUUAACAGAGGAUUUAGGCUUCACUUACUACACAGUGGAUGCUUGCCCUAAUAGUUGUAUGCUAUUUCGAAAUGGGAGCGAUGCAGAUCUUGACAACUGUUUGAUAUGUAAUGCAUCUCGGUGGAAAGAUAAUGAUGUGGAUGAAGGUUUAGAGCUUGGUUCGGGGCUUGGAAAGCGUCGAGCAGCAAAGCAACCAAGAUACUUUCCAUUAAAACCAACGUUGCAGAGGUUGUUUAUGUCCUCUAAAACAGCUACCCUUAUGAGAUGGCAUGCUGAGAAACGAACAGAUGAUGGUGUGUUUAGGCAUCCGGCAGAUUCUCAUGCGUGGAAGGAUUUUGACAGCAAACACUCAAGUUUUGCUGCUGAUAUUCGGAAUGUAAGGCUUGGCUUGGCCUCAGAUGGAUUUAAUCCAUUUAGAACUAUGACUAUACCACAUAGUACUUGGCCGGUCAUAUUGGUUCCAUACAACUUGCCGCCAAUGUUGUUGAUGAAGCAGCCUUAUAUCUAUCUGUUUGUGCUUAUUGAUGGACCACAAGCUCCUGGUGAUAAGAUUGAUGUGUACUUGCAACCACUAAUAGAAGAAUUGAAGGAACUGUGGGAAGAGGGAGUUCCAACAAUUGACGCUUCAAGCAAUCAAAUGUUUCAAUUGUAUGCUGGAUUACUGUGGACUAUCAAUGACUUCCCUGCCUAUGACAAUUUAUCGGGGUGGAGUACAAAAGGUGAAUAUGCAUGCCCGAAUUGCAACUCUGAAACUGAUUCAGUAUGGUGGUCACAAGUGGGGGUUUGGGAGCAGUAAGAGCUUUUCACCUGAAGAUCACAAGUACCGGAGAGAUGCCAAGUCUUUCAAUGGCUUAUGAGAAUACAGAAAAGCUCCUCCACCACUAUCUGGAGUAGAUCUUCUCACACAGAUUCAAUCCAAUGGUGUAAUUACACAAUACAAAAAGGAAGAUAUGCUAAGUCUCAAAUUCGUGAUCGAAGUUGGUUUUUGACAUCAUUUCGUUCGCAAUGGGUGACUAACUACGACACAACAAUGGGAGGAUAUGUUCUCACCUUAUUUCUAAUUUGGUGAGAUGGAGUAAAAGUUUUGGUUGUGGUGUGUGUGGGAAUAUUUAAAUUAUUCCUACUGUAGUUUUUGGGUAGCAUCCUCAGAGCUUGAAAUUAUGGAAUGCGAAUUCAACGCUUCGAUUUGAAGGGUAGAGAUUCUGGUUAUUAUUUCGAAGUUUUGAGGUAAAUGUUGAACUGGUAUUUGUGUCGUAGUCGUGGAUCAGAGAUAAAUCCAGUGGUGAUCCCAAGUGAGCUAGAGUUCAAUUAAGCAAUGAAUCUUGGAGCCGUAAGUCCUGUGGGGUAGUUUGAGAGUUACGUGGUGAUGUUGAAUAGAUGGUUUGUGUCGUUGUAGGUAUAUUUUUUUUAUGUGUAGCCAUUUGGAAGAGGGUUUUCCUCUGUUGACUGAAGAAGCGUCUAGAGUCAAGUUUUUUUUUAAGAGAUUUAAUAUGGUGAAUAGUAGAUAUUUGGUUAAGUUGAGCGACGCCUUUUAUUUAUAAUCGUAUUGUGGUGGGACCACUUGUUGAUCCAAGUUUAAUAUAGGUGGUCAUUGCUGUUUGGAUGUGUGUUCAUCCGUUGGUGUCAAGGUGAUUAGUUGAAAUCACUAUUGCUUUCUAUGUUCUAGUGCGUUUUCGAAUUAGGCCAUUAGUGAAUGUUGGAGAUGCACAUAAUUUUUUGAGCUGGAAAUUAUAGAAUUGUUUCCUUCGUGCACGCAAGUUAUUUUCCUCACAAGCUAGUCGUGAGUAGCUGAGAGUUUUGAUGUUUUUGCUGGAGCAUAAAUUUUCGUGGUUGACCAUUUAUUGGUCAGAAGCCUUUGGGGUUUUGAAACCGAAGCGCCAAGCUUGCGCAAGAGCCUUAAAACAAAAAAAAAAACAAAAAAAAAGAAAGAGAAGAAGUGUGUUUGGCUAGUUCGGAGGGUUUGGCAGCUAGAAUCUUUCUCAAUGGAUGCCUAGAGUGGGAUGUGUAAUUCUAACAGAUGAAGUCAUGGUCGCGAUGAAUGUGAUGCAUAUUCUGUCAAUGCCUAAAGAAAGUGAUAUGUUCCUACGAAUUUCAACGUUAAGGCAGGCAUCAUGAAUCGACUGUGUUAAUUUUCGUAGGCAUUAUUAGUGAGUUUUGUUUAUAGCAAGGAAGGAGGAAUAUCUCGUUUUCUCAUGAUAGUUAUGAUUCAUCUCAUCUCCUAGAGUGCUGAAGAGAUUAAUAGAGAUAACAGGAGAGAACUUGAAUUCCAAUAAGUUGCCAAGUUGUUUGCACAAAAAUUGGUAAUGUCUUAGUUUUGGUGGGGAGACCUAAGUGACCUAAAUGUCAUAGUGUCAUAAUUUCAUUCUGGCAAUUGAGGUUAAACUCUUAUUAGACUAAUCGCUUAGGCGAAGAAGGGUAGUCACGUGGUCUUGUGUGAGAUUUGGCUCCGCGAGUACCACGGUAUUGGAAGGAUGUUUGCGGUAGUUUCUGGCAGUGUAGGAAUCCUCAAUCCGAUCAUUUAGCGGGUCUUAAAUUUUUGACCUCUAUGUUCAUGUGAGAAAGCAUGAAUUUAGUUUCCUAACAAUUGGGUUUCGACGUCGAGUUCGUGCGCAUUGUAUUGUCUAAUUUAUUUCAAGGCAUUAGAAGAUUUAAGCCUGAUGUCGAAAUUGAACUUUUCCCUUCAAGUGUGUUAAUUUCUUUCAUUGCAUGGAAAAGCGUGGACGUUUCUAUAUGUAUUCAUGUUUUGACUUAGGCAUCGUGGAACUGUUUUCAAAAGAAGUUCGCGGUUGUUAUAGGUUCGCGAACAGUUGGAAGAAAUGCUACUUUUGAGCGGAAGUUCGUAAUUUGGUGAAGAUUCAGAGCUUCUAAAAAGGGUUUUACUCGUGCCGAGCGAGGGACUAGUGAACCAGAGUUCAGUGUUUAAGAUGUGGGGACAUCAAAUGUAGAUGGCAGAGUCGAGCCAUUAAAGUUUCUUAACGAAACAAAGAGUAGUAUGUUGUCGAUCAAUGAUUGUUGACCUUGGCUCGUUCAGUUUGAAAUUUCGAGGACGAAAUUUUUAUAAGGAGGGGAGAUUGUAACAUCCCGGACCCAAUUUUACCUAUUUACUAGGUAUUCCACGAGUUACUGAUGAAUUUAACCGUGUUCGAUAAUUUGGUAAUUUAACACUCGAGUUUAUUGUCGAGUUAUUUUUCUACGUUUUAUCGAAGGUUUGGUAUUAGGAUUUAUUUUACUAGAGUUAGGGUAUAAUUUUUAAGUUUUAAAGGAAAAGAGGUGGUGGACUUUGGUCAAAAACCCCAAGGGGGUGUUGACCGGCUCUCUCACUCCUCUCCCCGACUCUCUCUCUCGUCGCUUGUCCUUGUCGCGUCGGAGUGGCGCCGUCCGGCCACCCUUGGCGACGAGACCACCGCUGUUCUCUUCCUCUCUUCCUCUCUUCCUCUCCUUUCUAGCCUAGCCCGUGGAUCACGCAAGCGAACCGAAUAAGAGGAGAUCAAAGCUGUUGAACACGACUGUGUUCGUCAGAUUCCGGCCAACUCAGGCGGCGACGACGGCAACGAACGGUAGGGUUCUUCUCCUUUCUUUCUAUGCCUUUCACUCUUCAAAUCGAGUUCAAAUUCGGAAAUCCCUGUUUGUGUUUUUAGGUUUUCGUCGAGGUUUUCCUGUGGGUUUGUUCUUGGAGCUCCGACGGGACUAUCGAGCUCCGGUGAGUCUCGGAACGGUUGAGUGGAGCUCAGUCGCGCCUUGGAGGGAUUUAAGAGCAGCAAUCGUGGUUUGGGAUUUGAGCAGAGGCUUGAGUUCUCAAUCGGGAAUUUUGGUUGGACUUCAAACUUCGUCUUCAGAAGAAAAUCCAGCAAGGAGGAAGUUCUUGGGUUCAAUGUUUGGCAGAUUGAAGGUGAGUGUUAAGCUGUGAAGUUGUGUUGUUGUUAUUGUUAUGUUUUUGUUGUUGAGGUGUUGAUCCGGUUGUUUUGGUUGUUGUUGUCGAGAACUUGGUGCUUUGAAGAUUGCAGGGAGGUCAUGGCCAAUUUCCGGAAAGUGGCCAAAUUCCGGUAGAAUAUUCCGGUCAGUCAUCGGAAUUCGGCGAAAGGUUCUGGCGAGGCAGCUUAUCCGGCUGAGAGUCGUUAAGGUAGUUUUGAGUCUGAUAAAUGUUAUCGAUGCCUUAAGAGGAAUUUGAUGUUGGAGUUUAAAAAAUUUGUGGUCUUGAAGUCUAGGCAUAAUGUGAAGUUGGAUAGUAGGGAAAGAGUGAAGUCGUUGGUAUUUGCAGCUUGUUUAAAAGUAUUAAGUAGAGAAUGAGCUUGAGUCUAGUUUGAUUUUGAAAUGAGUUAAAUUAUACUAUGGGUGUCCAUAGUGAUUUUGCGUUUAAUUUAUUGCUUGGCGGAAUGGUGAAAUAGAUUGGUUGUCACGCUAUAGGCUUGGAAAUUCAAUGAGAACUUGAUUCCAAAUUGAGGUUUCGGAACUUGAGCAAAAUGAGUUCUGGAUGUGAAAUUGGUUAAAAAUAAUAUUUAAAUCAAUUGGUCAAUCCUGGUCAACCUAGGGAAUUCUAAUCAAGCUAGGAAGAAGUCGAGUCAAUGAUUAUUUCGGAAUCCGGUUUGACCGAUUUACUCUGCUGUUUAUCAUCAGACGUGGGAUUGACUUGAGAUUGUGAGUAAUUGGAGGCAGCGCUUGAGGAGUAUUCUGGGCAUUGGAAGGCUUAGGCCUAAUACUGUGAGUGGACUUUUGUUUUAAAUAAUAUGCAUGCUAUGGUUCAUGAAUGAACAAUUAAUGUCGUGGAGCAUUUUGACGUCAUUUUAAUUUUUGACAAUCUUAUUUCUCUUGGAGAGUUACCGAAAAUGAGAUUUUCGGUGGAUAUAAUAUGUAAUUAUGAGAGAGUAUGUAUAUAACAGCUAGCUAGCCCUAUGUGUCUGUCCACCUUAAUGGCGUAGCAUAUAGCCGCAUUAUGGUGUGACGUGAGCAUUGGACGCGAGCGUAGUAGCCUUAUAUGAGUGUUUAAUUCAUAUAAGGGGUAUGGGCACAUAUUUAUACACCCGUCUGUCCACCUUAAUGGCGUAGUGUAGCACCGCAUUAAGGCGUGACGUGAGCGUUGGACGCGAGCGUAGUAGCCCUAUAUAGACCCAUGAAUUUAUAUAGGGAGUAUGGACGUGUGUAAAUACAUACAUAUAUUAUAGAGUCUGAGAGGCUCGAUAUUUUAUGAGAUAAAAGUUUUAUCGCUUGCAGCAUGCAUUCGAUUUUCCUUAGAAAUUGUUUUGGGGAAACAUAAAUAUUUUUUUUAUUAAUUUAUUUUUGUCCACUCACUCUAACGUUUUCAAAUGUUUUCCCCUGGGCCCUUCGUUUUUAAAAAUGCCCAGUUUGCAGGAUUGCAUAGAUGAGGUCGGGCGUACAUGGAGAAGAGGCAUAGUCAAUAGUAUAGUUUUCGCUCAUUUCUAUAUUUCUAGUUCUUUUCCUCUCAGACAAUGUUCUUGGUACCAUAAUGGGAGCUGCUGGAAAAACAAAGGAUAAUUUGAGAUCUCGACGCGACCUUGAGGCUAUGGGAAUUAGAAAGCAGUAUCAUGUGAAGGAGAGGGAAGAUGGUACUAAAUACUUUGAGCCUGCUGAUUUUGAGAUGAAAAAUGAUGGGAAAGAUAAGUUCCUCUUAGCCUUAUCUCAGUCAAGAAUGCCGGAUGGUUCUGCUUCUAAUAUUGCAAGGUGGGUACGUUUGAAGGGUCGUACGAUUGGACGUCUUAAAAGCCAUGAUAAUCAUACCCUUCUACAACAAUUAAUUCCCUUAUGUAUACGAAGUUCCUUACCGAAGAAUGUGGUUGAAGGGUUGAUCGAUCUCGGCAAGUUUUUCAAAGUGUUGUGCUCCAAACUAAAUUGUGCAGCAGAUUUGGAGGAGGUACGUUCUCGCAUUAUUGUAACCCUCUGUGAUCUGGAAAAGAUAUUUCCACCAUCAUUUUUUGAUGUAAUGGAGCACUUGCCUAUACAUCUAGCUGAAUAAGCAUUAAUUGCUGGUGCUGUGCAAUUUCGGUGGAUGUACCCCAUUGAAAGGUACUUGCUCACAUUGAAGCAAUACGUACGACAAAGGGCACAUCCUGAAGCAUCAAUAGCUAAUGGGUAUUUGAUGGAAGGAUGCAUGAACUUCUGCUCCCAAUACCUUAAAGAUAUGGGUUGUAAGUCAAACAGACCAUUAAGAAGGAAGAAUGACAAGGAUAACUCCAAGAAAAGGAAGACUUUUUUGCUCUCAAAUGUUACUCGUACACAAAUUCAUAGAUGGGUCUUGUUUCAUACCGAUGUAGUCACACCAUAUCUCAAGUAAGUAAUGCAUCCAAUUCAUUUUUUCUCAUAGAUUUGAACCAUAUAAUACCUUGAUUUGUUGAUAUGCUACUGCAUAUGUCUCAAAGUUUAUCAUUUUAUUACUAUGCAGGGAGCAUAUGUCUACCAUUAAAAAUCAAUAUCCUAAUGCCAAUGAUGUUGAUGUUGCACGUAUUCAUUUUGAUGAGUUUGCAGACUGGUUUAAGGCACAUGUGAGUUGUUUGCAAAAUAUGGGUGAUGUGUCCUUACCGGAAGAAAUUAUGGCUUUGUCAAAUCCUCCUUGUCCUUCAGCAGCUAGGCUGAAAUCAUAUACAUCCAAAGGCCAUUUUUUUCGAGUGAAAAGUGUUGACAACAAGCGAACUAGGCAACACAGUGGUGUGUCUUUACAAGGAGAUACUUUACCAUAUUAUGGGAGAUUGACAGAGAUCAUCAAAAUUAGCUACUCUAUUGAUAUCAAGUAUGUGUUGUUUAGGUGUGAGUGGGCACAUCCUUCAACAGGAGUGAAAAAAGAUCCUUUUAACUUCACUUUAGUUAACUUUAGAAGAUUGUUAUACCAGAAUGACCGGGUUAGGGAUGAACCAUUCAUCUUAGCAUCUCAAGCACAUCAGGUGUGGUAUAUCCCAGAUCCUUCAGGAGAAGGUUGGCUAAAUGUCAGCGAAGUGGAGUCUAAGGACUUCUCUCAUGUGCAAUUUGACACGAGUGAUGAAAUGGAGUCGGUGGUAGAUGUCUGAAAUUGUGUUGAGCUGUUGCUUUUAAAUUAUAUGAAAUAUCUCAAUCUACUGUGCAAUUAGGUUUGUUAUUAAAACCGCCAGAAUAUUUGUGGUUGUUAUCAUAACUUGUUGGUAUUAUUUAUUAGUAAAUUGUUGACUGAGUGUUUAUUCUUAUAGGUGACCAUGUUGGGGAAGAAAAGGAAGGUUGGUAGACCAUGCCACAUGUCUGAAUUCUUGAGUCCUAGCGGUUCUACAUCAAGCCACAAUGGUUCCUCAUCAUCACAGUCAUCCUACACGUCUAUUCGUCCACCUUUGAUACCGCCAACCCCACUGCCUUCUCCUCCCCAACCUACUCCUCCCUCUACAUUACCUCUUCCAGCCCCAGGUAUGCCCUGUUCCACUUUUUCUUUUAAUAUUUUCAGCCUCAUUAUAAUUAUCAAAUCUAAUGUUUACAACUCUCUGAACUAGAUGCUCAGCCACAACCUACUAGCAAUACUGUCAGUAGAGGUCAUAACAAGGGCAUUCCAGAGUGGAAUACUAGAGAGAAUGUCAACAUUAUGUUUGAUUCUAAAUUCCAACCUGUUGGAGAAAGAGCUACACAAUUGAAGUCACAAUUGGGCAAGAUUGUGCGUGAUGGCAGGAGGAUUCCAUUGACAAUUAUGGACUGGAAAUCUGUUGAUGAAAAAGUCAAAGAGGGAAUUUGGAAUGAGGUUAAGGUAAACAUUUCCUAAAUUUUAAACUUCAAGAUUCAUAAAACUUUAGAUGUGGUAUUAAUUUUUUUGCACAAAGUAACCUUUACUGUCAUAUUUAGAGAACUGUAGUAGAAUCAAAACUUGUGUUGUUGUUUAUCAAGUUGUAUCGUCUUCUGGUCUCCAAAGAGAUAUUUUCUGGUACAAUUUUGAUUCAGCUAACAGUGUCUUACAUGAUUUGCAUUUUCACUUUAGAUAUAUUGGGACUUUUCUUUGUUCAAAGAUAUUGACUGUUUUCAAUAUACAUAUGAGAUUACAUGACCAUGGUAAUACAUUUAGAAAUUUAGAUAUUAGAUGUUAUGCCACAAAGGUGUUAACUGGUAUGAACUUCAUGGGACUUCAAGAUAUGUUUCAAUAAGUAGACUUACAUGUUUAACUAUAUGGAUUGGAAUGUAUACUGCAGUUUACACACAUAUAAUAUACAUAUAUAUGAUUUUUGAAACUCAUUUGCAUUUGAUUUUAAUCAUGUUAGGAGUUGAAGUGAUCACUCUGAGACAGAUCCAUGUCCUCACUAGGUUGAAUUUUCAGAAGUGGAGGAACCAGAUGAAAUUCUGCAUGUCCACGAACCAGUAUAUGGAUCUUUGCUUCUUUUGAGCUUUAUAAUAAGUGACAUAGAACUGAAUAUGAUGAUCUGCUUGUUUUUGGCUUAGAUUGCUAGAUUUCAAUAAGUCAGUUUAAAUGACUAGUACUAGCAGACCACUUUUAAUAGAAAUUGGGUAGAAAGAUUUGCAAUGUAUGAUCACGUGUUAUGAAUUGUCAAUCUUCGAUGAGCAUUUUGUGCUUAUAUUGUGUUUCUAUACAUAUAAACUUGUACACUUAUUUACACGAGUAUCUGUUCUUUGAAAGUGUGCUUUUAAUUAACCAAAUUGCAUAUUACAAUCUUGGUAAGAAUAAGGUCAUUAAAAUGGGAUCAUAUCUUUUAAUUUUAUGUUUUUUCAGCUUUGGUGAUUAUAAGUUAAUAUUAAAAGUGGUUACUGUAUUUAUUAAAAGUAAUUCUAUAUUGUUCACUCUGUUUUUUGUAGACAAAUUUGGUUGAUGUUCCAGAAGGAUACAAACCUGUGUGUCUCAAAAGUUGCAAUUAUCUUUGGAAGGAUCAUAAAAGCAAAACCAAAUCUAACUACUUUGUACCAAACAAAAGCAAUCCAAAGCUGAGUUCUAUGGUUCCUCCAAAUAUUAUAGCAGAUCAAUGGACUAUGCUUGUUGCCUAUUGGAACACUGAGGAUACAAAGGUAGAAGUGUUAUGUCAUUUCCAUUAUAUUUUGCCAAAUAGGUUGACUCUAGCAUUUAAUUUUCAAACUGAUUUUGUAGGCAAUAGUGACUCGUAAUUCAAUCAAUCGAGAGACACGUGGACCAUCUCAUAAUACUGGUAGAAAGAAUUUUGCUCAAUUAAGAUCUGAGGUAGUGUUGAAAAAACUUGUACUUGACAGAUGAAACUUGUACUUGACAGAUGAAGAGGUUUAUAGUAAGAUAUGUUAUUAGUAUAUGGAGUUAUUUACUAUUUGUACUUGGCAGAUGGAACAAAGUGGAUAAGAAUCUAAUAAAUUUAGUGUGUGGUUUUUUGCACGCAAAGAAUCCAAUCCAGAAGUUGCCCAAGUCAUUGUAAGUUUCAGCAACCUUGUUAAGUAGAUCACAAUUGUGGUUGUUCUUUUUUUGGUCUUUCCCUGGCUAAGUAAUUUAUAAAUUCAUGUAGAAUAAAUAUAACAGGAAACUGUUACUGGUGAGACCGGUGGAAGACCAAAAGCUCAUAGCUGUAAAAGACCGUGUUUUUCAUGAUGUUAUUGGAGAGGAUGGUCAUGGUUAUUGUCGUACCUAUGGUUCUACUGUGCCUCGCAAUUUGGUAUAGCCACAAUACCUAUGGUUAUUGUCGUACAUUGGAAACUGCUAGUAGCAAUGACCUUAUAGCCAAAAUCACUGAAGAGGUAACAGAGAAACUGAAAGAGUCUUUCGAUAAGAAAUUGGAGGAUGCUAUUAAAAUGCUUCAAGCUCAAAUUGCCAAUAAUAUGGAUUGCACAAUUGCACAGGGGGGAAGAAACACAAUUGCACAUGGACUGGUUAGUAAUUUUUUAGAUACACUGCCUUGUUAUUGUUUCAAAUUUUGAAAUACUUUUACUUGAUGUACACCUGAAAUUAUGUUUUGAGACACUUUGAUGUUCUAAGUAAUAGAAAUUCUUUUUUGUUAGAAUGAAUAUUUUUGAAGUAUGGUUUAGUAUGAAUUAGGGUGAAGGUGCUUGAUUUACUUGAAUCUAUAUAUGACUUUAAGCAUUAGGGUCAAUGCUUAAGCAUACAGACACUUUGAUGUUCUAAGUAAUGGAAAUUCUUUUUUAUUAGAAUGAAUAUUUUUGAAGUAUGGUUUAGUAUGAAUUAGGGUGAAGGUGCUUGAUUUACUUGAAUCUAGAUAUGGCUUUAACCAUUAGGGUCAAUGCUUGAACAUGCAGACACUUUGAUGUUCUAAGUAAUGGAAAUUGCCCAUUUUUUUAUUAUGAAUAUUUUUGAAGUAUGGUUUAAUAUGAAUUAGGGUGAAGGUGCUUGAUUUACUUAAAUCUAGAUAUGGUUUUAAGCAUUAGGGUCAAUGCUUGAGCAUGCAAUAGGUUUUUGUUUUCAUCUUUCACUUCAAAUCAGACAACUAAUUAUAGAAAAUGGUCUCAUUUAUGCAAUAGGUACCAGCUGAUGCAACAAGUGGCUAUGAGGCUAGGAGGGAGUCCAUAGGAGAGGGAGAUCCUGAGGCCACUACCCAUUUUGAUUAAGCUUCUGAUGAUGUCACUGGUCACCAUGAUCCUCCUGCAUGAUUCAGGUUUAUGUCAUAUUGUUGUGUUUUAGAAUGUGUUAGAACAAGAUUAUGUUAGAAUAUUGUUGUCCCUUUAUGAAGCUCUUUUUAUUGUUGUAGCACUUAUUUGGUAUAGUUUAGGUUCCAUCAUGUGGAAUAAUGUUUAUGUUGGAUAAUUUGGUUAUGUAAUAAAUGUUGGUCAUUGUGUUGAUUUUGUUGGAAUGAAUGCUAGUUGAUGGUGGUGUUAAUACCUUGUUGAUUAUGGUUAUUGUUAUUGUGGAUUGAAUGAGAUUUGAAUUUGUAGGUUUCUGGUAAAAAUGAGAUUUGAAACAGCUGUGGUAACAAUUUCUGCAGUUGGCGACGGCAGAGUCUCGUCGCCAACUUUUUGGCAUUUUCUGCAGUUGGCGACGGCAAAGUCCCGUCGCAAAUGGUUUUGGCGGGAAAAUUCGAAAAUUCCAGUUCACAUUUGAAAAUUGUUAAAUAUCACAGCGACGGCAAUCGCCUUCGCCAAUAGAGGUAUUUGCGACGGCAAGUUCAGUAGCCAAUUUCCGUCGCUAUUUGCCGUCACAAACAUGGUUGUGACGGCUCACUGCCGUCGCCAAAAGCAACGGCCAUGCCCUCAACGGCGACGGGAAAAAUGCAGUCGCCACGCCGUCGCCGUUGGUCUUUUGCGACGGCAGAAUGACUUUUGGGCUAACUGAAUUAAUUUUUAUAGUGAAGCAUGGUUAUUGUGCCAGGAUACAAUGGGAACCUCGUGUGAGUGGCGAUGCGGAUAUCGUCGGUCUUUUGCCUAGAUUUGUGAGUGGACAUUUUGGUUUUUAAUUAAUAUGCAUGCAUGAUUUUAUAAGUUACCCAUUAUAUAUUCCAAGCUUAAUUAAAUUGUAAUUUUGGCUUAUGAAAUGGUUUUUGUAUUUAUUUGAUUUUGAUGCAUUGAUUAAUUUUUGCCAUGAGUUAUGGAAUUUAUCUGAGAUUGACAUAUUGGUUAUGUUUUCGAUAAUGAACUUAUGGAUUUGAGCUUGGGUUAGAGAUUUGGUAUUUGAGUUUUAAUAUUCUUUAUGAUUUCCGGAUUUGAGAUUAUAUCCAGAUUUGCAUAUUUCCUGGUUUUCGAAAGAUGAUAAUUAUUUAAGUUAAUUAUUUCUUUGAGCAUUUUAACGUAUGGGACACGUCGUUUAAUUUAAUUAAUUUCUUUGCUCUUUGAAUUCUUUGAGUACGGUUGGGAAUCGUACUUAUGCUUUAGUUAUGAGUUUCGGGGAAACUCACAUGGAUUUAUGUUUCUUUAUUUUAUGUCAUAUUUGUCGGAUAAUAUAUUACUAAUGCUAGCAUGUUGGUCCGCCUUUCGAGGCGAUGUGGCUUCCACGUUUUAAGUGGGGUUACUCAAGCCCUUUCCGCUUUCGGGUGAUGUGAUGUAGUCGACGACAUCACGCAAGCCCUGCACCCUCUCUGUUAUCAUAACGUGAAGGUGUAGGAAGUAUGGGAGUACUUUUGCUUGGGAGGCACCCGAGCCUGGGAGGCUCACUUGUAUGGCUAUAGCUGCUUCUUAUUUAAUAUUUAUUGUUUUUGACUAGCGGGACUAGUCCAUUAUUUUGGUAUACUUUCUUUUACGAAGGUUAUUAUUUAUCUUUGUCAUUAAUUUGACUAGCGGGGCUAGUCCGUUUUAUUAAGAUUUUAUUUAUGAAAGUUUUAUCAACACUUGCAUGCAACGGAUUUCUUGAUUAUUGGAAAAUGCGAAAGUAAUUAAAGUUUGGUUAGUUAUGUUGCGAUCAGUUACUUGAUUAUUUUUCGUCUACUCACUCUAACGUUUUUAAUUUACUUUCCCCUGGGUCCUUUGGUUUUAAAUACCCAGUUUGCAGGCUAAGUUUAAAUGAGGCCGAGCGUACAUGAAGUCGAGGCAUAGUCAAAGGUUGCUUCCGCUUAAUCUUUAUUCAUUGUUAUUCUUUCAUUAUUAGAUAUGCUUUGGUAACCAGUUAGUGAAUUAAUUGUCUGUUGUUGGUUGUGGGAUUAUCUUUGAUGAGUAUUCGUUAUAUUGGGAGGUGUGUUGAGCUUGGGGAGUAGGAAGGCUCCAGGUGUUGAGGCUGGUAUGUUUGGUUAGAAGUGUAAGUUGGAUUUUUCUGGUAAGGGUUGUCCAUUUUCAAGGAAGAUUAUGCCAAAUUUUUGGUAAAUUCUUCUUGAAGGUGGACCCCGCAGGGUUUACCUCAGGUUUUAGGGUGAAAUUCAGGGUGGAUCCUGUCAAAAGGCCAUGACCUUUUAGCAAUAUAGUCUCCUAUCUGUCGUGAAAGCUGUGUGCUCCUCAUCCCCCGAAUCCAUCUUUAUCUGGUUAUAGCUAGCGUAGGCGUCCAUGAAGCUCAACAUUUUGAACCCGGACGUGGAGCCCACUAGUUGAACUAUGCGUGAGAGUGGGAAGCUAUCUUUUGGGCAUGCCCUGUUGAGAUUUAAAUAAUCCACGCAUAUCCUUCAUUGUCCCGUUGACUUCUUUGGAACCAUGACCACAUUGGCUAGCCACUAGGGGUACCUAACCUCCCUUAUAAACCUGAUGUCAAUCAAUUUUUGCACUUCCCCUCUCAUUGCUUCAUACUUCUCUGGCUUAAACGUCAUUUGCUUUUGCUGCACGGGCGGGGGGGAAUUCCUUCUCGAUUCCUAGCUUGUGUGUUACGAUGUCACUCGAUAUCCAGGGCAUAUCCUUAUAUGACCAAACGAACGCCCAACUAUUUUUCUUCAGGAAUUCCACUAGGGCCGUUCAUAUGCCAGCUAUCUGUCCCGUCCCUAUAGUCACUUGCCGAUCCGGGAACUCAUCAGAGAUUGACACCACUUCUGUUUCUUCUGCCGACCCUGGACGCUCCUCGUCCGAGUCGGUAUCAUCUCUAGGAUCCACAUAAGGAUCCGAGGGGGACACAAUGGCCUGGCUUGCCGACAUGACUUCUAACCUUUUCCUCCCAUUGUCUAUUGCGCAACAACUUCUCGCUGCCCCAUGAUCUCCCCGGAUCGUAAUGACUCCCGUUGGGGUUGGAACUUUCAUCAUUAACAUCGCUGGCCCCUAGGAUCCUGUUGUAGGAUGACUCAUAGUCUACCACGAUGAAUUCUACUAUUGCCCGGGCGACACCCUCUUGGCCUUCCAUGCUUACUCCAAAGCUGUCUGAUCCUAGGGGUUGAACGACAUCGCCCGAGAAGCUGAUUAACGGCUCAUGGUCUUACAUCAACUUGUUACUUCCUCGAUGCAAUCCUUUCCAGGCACUCCUGAAUAACACAUUGACGGAGGCUUCCGUAUCGAUCAGGAUCUUCUUCGUGAUAUAAUGAUCGAGUUGCAAUGUUAUGAAGAACGGGUCCUCGUGCGGCCUUAUCCCCUCCUCUUCCUCUUCCUCUUCUAGGAAGGUAACUAACUUCCAACCAGUGGUUACUUGCUAAUUAUUACUACUUCAAAAGGCAAAAACCUCCUUGUCAUCCAUUCUUCCCGUACACUGCUUUUUAGCUUUGUUGCUCCUAUUAUCUAUACGGGACCCGCCAUGGAUGGUGUUGAUCGUCUCAUACACUUCGAUCGCCCCUACUUGCUUCUGCCCGGGCACGUACUACUGCAAUUUUCCCUCUUUCACUCAGCUGUCCACCGCUCUCUUUAGCUCGCUCUAUCCAGUUAUUUAUGUGGUGAGUUGCCUCCCCAUGGUACCCAUAAAAUUUUCCAGUAUCUUCCUUAGUGAGCCGAGAGGCAGAGAAUUUCCUGGCUGAGGGAGGCGAAAUGAUAGACUUAUUCUCGUUCCAUAUCGCCUCGUAGGUGGCGUUGAGCGCUGAGAAUUGCUCUUUACCUACCGGUGUCGCCCUCGCGUACUCGGUAUCCUGGUAGGGUCCCUUUGCCUUCCCUUGCUUGUUGUACUGCUUCCUCGCCUUCUUCCCGCUCCCAUCCUUCUGCCUCUUUCCAGAUGAGUACGUGUUCGGCUCUCGUUCUCCCUUCCAGGCCCUAACCUCUUGGACCACUUGCACCGGCGACCCCCUUCUCUCCCUUCGACUUUCCUUUUCCCGGUCGAGUUUCCCCCAUAAGUAUCAUGGUCUGCUUAUGCGUGCCUGAUCGCCAUCUCCAUAAGCUCGUCAUAGCCUUGCGGAUUUUCGAUUUUUACUGCAUAUAGAAACUUCCCGAGAAGCAACCCUUAGAUGAACGCUUCCUCUGCAACCUUUUUAUCAAAGUUCCUGACCAUGGUUGUGGCUCCUUGCCAACAAUUCACAAAAGCUUUUAGGUCCUCUCCCCUAUCUUGUUUUACUUUAAACAGUUGGGCGGUGUUAUGCCCGUCCGUCCGUAGAAUGAACCUAUUGACAAACUUAUCCGCCAACUGCCGGAAGCAAUCAAUCGAGUUCGACGGGAGCUCGUAGAACCAACUAAGUGCUUCCCCCGAUAAGGUUUCCUGGAACAUGUUGCAGCAUAUUGCAUCCGAUUAUCCUUUAGCGUUCGUGUGAGAUUUGAAACUAUUAAGAAAGAGAUGAGGAUCAUGAUCCCCAUUAUAACUAAGUUUUAAUGGUUUAACUGUGUUCGACCGGACGGUCUAGGUGAUUGCUCUUGUGAACGGUCCCCCUCUUUCUUCGAAACUCUUGCAGGUUGGAUUAUGUGAUGCCCUUCUCUCGGCGUCCGAUAUUCCUUCUGUUGAACUCGCCACGUUAUCCCGGAUAGCUCUUAGGGUUUCUUCCAUCUCUCCCGGUCUUCCGGCUUGGACUUCUGGGAUUGGCUGAGGCAAGGGUGGCGGCCCCUCAUCCCGCAUUUCCUCCGGGUACAAAUUUACCCCUAAAUGCACGGUCCUACUGUCCCUUCCCGCCAGAGCCGUUGCGUCAGUCUGCUGUGACAUGGCCGCUCGAUCCAACUCGGCCGCCCGAUCCAAUGCUUCCUGAUGCUCAAUCCCUAGGGCUAGCGCGCUCAUGAGUGUGGCGUUAUCUCUUUCCAACCUACGCUCCCUCCCGGAGGCUUCUUCCUAAUCCCUGACCCUUUGCUGCUCCAGCCAUGUGAUUUGGGCCCUCAUCCCCUCCAACAUCUCGGCUACCUAUUGGGGAUUGAGGUCUUAUGCACUCCCUCCUGUGUUUCCUCCCGGACACCUAUCGUCGUGAUUCGUGAACACCCCAUGUUGUUUCCGGGGUCUUUCCAAAUAUCGCUUCCCUUUGCUCUUCCCGUCCUACAUCUUGCUCUUGCUCUUGCUGCUCGCUUAACCCAGCCAUCGAGUCAAAUGUUUCUGUACAAUCUCGAAUAGGGUUACAGAAGCCUACAUUCUGCUCUUCCCGUCCUACAUCCUGCUCUUCCCACGCUGGCUUUUAGUAAAGGUUCCCACAGACGGCGCCAAAUGUUUCUGUACAAUCUCGAAUAGGGUUACAGAAGCCGAAGGCGUGUCCGCUGAGUGAUUAGCUUUCCUCUCGAUGAUCUGUGAAUAAAAGGAUGACCGGGGGCUUCCAGUCUUUCCUUCUCCGAUGGUUAAGUCAGAAUUUGUAGGUGAUGUGUAAUUACUAGUGUAGUAAAUGAUACCUGACAAGCUGGUGGCUGGGCCGUAUUUGUGGCCCAGCGUGGGUUCUCUUUGCUUGGAAAUCGAUGUGGGACAGUUGCCUUUGUUGUUGUUUCAAAUAUAGACCUCCCUUAUGCCUUCUAUAGUCGUUCCCAGCCCAGCGUUGCCACCGAGGUUGAGCCCGGCCCAUCCUGCUUAUGGGCGAGAACUUUAGGGCGGCCUCAGUUGCCUUGGUCGUGGUGGAAUGCCUGCUGGUUUACGGGCUUGGGAGGUUAUUUUAUGUACAACCGACUACAUUGAGAAAAUUCAUUGGUUAUGGAAUAUGGAUUAUACAAUAUGAGCAACUAUUGUUAUGGAUUUGCAUGACUCAAUGAUUUUUUUUUCGAUGAACAAGAGGAGUGGAUUUACAAGAAGAGGACUCGGUGUUUUUUUCUUUUCGAUGAAGAGGAUUUGGACAUUUGGUAUUUUGGUUUAAGAAACAAUAACAAUGAAAGCAGCAAAAAUAUUAAAUUAAUGACUAGAUAUAUCUUGUAUAAGUUGUCUUAAAAAUAACCAUGUGUCGAUUUUAUAUUGGUCAAGGUCAAGGAGGACCACUGGACAUGCUGACGUGGUCCCGUAGUACAGAAAAAUUUCUCCAAAAAUGCCAUCUCAAUAAUGUAUUAUGAAUAUUUAUUCAUAUAGAAAAUUUCAUCAAAGUCACAUUUUCAACAUUUUUUUCUUUAUAAGGCCACCCUAAACUUUUUACCCAUCUAAUAAGUCCAUUUUUUGGUCCAAACCCAUCACCUACUUUUUCCGUUCUACCUAAAAUACCCUCCUGUCAGCAUUUCUACUGAAUCGUUUCACACACACACACACACACACUCUCUCUCUCUCNNNNNNNNNNNNNNNNNNNNNNNNNNNNNNCUCUCUCUCUCUCUCUCUCUCUCUCUCUACUCUCUCUCUACUCUCUCUCUCUCUCUCUCUCUCUCUCUCUCUCUCUCUCUCUCUCUCUCUCUCUCUCUCUCUCUCAACCUUCGACCUCCGAUUCUGUUUCUGACGCCGCCGUCGCCGAUCAUCCUCCGGCCACCAUCUCCACCCGCCGCGUCACCUCCUAAAGCCUAAAGUGAAAGUGCCUGAGCCUACUUUGCUCUAAUUUCCUCAGCCUCUAUAAUUGCGACAGCAACACCACCGCCUUGAUUGGCCACGAUGACGUAGUCGUCUCACCUUUACUUACUCGCCUCAACCGUAACGACGACGAAGUCGAUCGCUUUCUAUAGAUGAAACCCUCGACGCUUGGCAAGUACUCUAGAUCUGGAUUCUCUUUGAGUUUUUGUGACGACGCCUUGACCUCGACCUCGACGCCGCCAGGUUGACGUUGAUGCCUCAACGUCUAUUGCGUCCAAUUCCAUCGAUGACAACUUCUGAUUUGACCUUGACGGGAUGUCUGAAACUAGAUGGCUCACCGACUCAUUCUCGUGGCUCAUCUGGUCCUUGACGGCUAUGAUUGCCUUCCAUCGGCGAUUCGAGAUCCGUACAGCUUGGACGCCACUGCUAACUCGAUGACACAUCCUAGACAACGCCGCUUCAAAGAUGUCGCCUAAGAUGGCUCCAGUCGAUAAAGAUUGGCGACGAGAAGUAGCAAAUCUGGUUGAUGACCUAAAGACCUAGACCUCCGAUUGGAGGUGACUGUUCUGGUAAAAUUCUGAAUGUAAAUUUGCUACAGUUUCUUUCUUUGGUUUUGAGAAAAUGUAAACAAAGAUUAGGAUGAUGUUUUGUGUUAAUUUGAUAGAAACUGAGUGUGAGAAAUCAUGAACAUAAUCGUGUUCUGAUAAUGUAAGAGAUGAAUGAAACGAGAUUCAUAACUAUAUUUCAGCCUCAUUGUAUGAUAGUAUAUUUUGAACAAUGUGACAGUACAUUUUCGUCCUUGUGAUAGUAUAUUUUUCACACUGUAAUUGUAUAUUUCUGACACAAUUGUAAUAGCUUUCAUUAUGCUUGAUAGUAGAUUUUUAACAUGAUGAUAGUAGUUUUUGAUCGUCGACUUGUAUGUAAUUUUUUUAGUUCUGAAGAAUUUUUUGAUGUCUAUACUAGUAUCUUUUUAACAGGAUGAUAGUAUUUGUAAUUAUGUUGAACUUCAGUACCUAAUACAAAACCUUAUUUAAGCUUGGGUGGACUUAUGUGGAUAAAAAUAUUAGGGUGGACCUAUGUGGGAAAAAAUGUCUGAAAAUGGACUUAUAUGUAAUUGACCCAUCCAUAUCCACAUUAUUAUUACGAGAAGAAAGCUAGCUGUCCAAAACCGAAUUUAUUUAGCAAUUUAACCCUCAUACUCUCUCCUAAAAUACUAUAAUAAAAGUUUGGGUAUCUCGGUGAGUUGUGACACAAAAUCGGCGAAUUUUUGUGAACGAGUAGUUUUGCAACUUCUCGUCCGGCGACGCUCUAUGUUGGUGGGGCUUGCCUCGUCGUCGACGUGUGGUUUUCGGACGGGUAUUGAUGAUUUGAGUCCUCUAAUUCUGGGACAUGCAAUACCCGAAGGGACUUUGUUCAAUCUGGCCUGUGUUGAUCUGAAGCUCUAUGCGGCUGGCCUAUUGUCUUCGGUCUACUGGGAGGCGUGGGGAGUUGUUGCAAUUGGGAGGCGAGGGGUUGCUGCGGCUGGGAGACGCAAGUGCUGCUGCGGCGGGGAGGCGCGGGAAGUUGUUACGGCUGGGAGGCACACGAUUUUCCGUGGCAGGGAGGCAACGUUUUCUGUGGUUAUCAUGGUGGUUUUUCAACGUGACGUCAUCUUUCAGCUCGGAGUGGUGGAGGAGCAACACACCUGGUCAAUGUUUUGGGUCUAGGGUUUUGUGGGUUUCUGGGCCUUUGCAUUGGCAUCUUGGGUUGAGGCUUUGCUUUUGGCCCAUAAUCAGUUAUUUUUGUUUAGGGUAUACUAAACAUGAGCGGAAGCUAUACUAUUGACUAUACCUCUUCUCCAUGUACGGCCGACCUCAACUAUACUAACCUGCAUACUGGGCAUUUUUUUUAAACGAAUGGCCCAAGGGAAAACAUUUGAAAAUGUUAGAGUGAGUGGACAAAAAUGAAUUUAAUGAAAAAUAUUUAUGCUUUCCCAAUUUAAAUUUCCAUAGAAAAUAUGCUGCAUACGACAGUUUAAAAGCUCUCAACUCAUCAAUUGGCAAUUACAUGACUAGCUCCGGCCAGUCUCUAAAACUCAAUAAAAUGGAGCCUCUCAAACUCAAUAAUAUAAAUCCAUAAAUAUAUAUAUAUAUAUGUAUCUACAUGCGUCCAUACUCCUUGUAUGAAUUCUAUGAAAAAAAUAUAAUAAAAAUAGAAUUCAUAAAAGGCUACUACGCUCGCAUCUAAUGCUCACGUCACGUCUUAAUGCGAUGCUACACUACGCCAUUAAGGUAGACGGACGGGUGUAUAAAUAUGAGCCCAGACCUCCUAUAUGAAUUAGACACUCAUAUAGGGCUACUACACUCGCAUCUAAGUCUCACGUCACACCAUAAUGUAGUUAUAUACUAUGCCAUUAAGGUGGACAGACACAUAUAGCUAGCUAGCAUUUAUAUACAUACUCUCCUCAUAAAUAUAUAUUUAUAUUCACCGAAAAAUCUUAUUUUCGGUAAGUCUCCAAAAGAAAUAAAAUGACGUCAAAUGCUCCAACAAAAGAAAUUAAUCAACCAUAAACCAUAGCAUGCAUAAUAUUUAAAACAAAAGUCCACUCACAACUUUAGGCAUAAGCCCAACGAAAUCCAAUUCACUACUCAAGUGAGGUCUUCUCGAAUCCUGGCACAAUAACCAUGCUUAAGACCAAACUUCAAUUUUAGAAAAAAUAAUACUUAAAUAUAUAACCCAAAACUCUUCCACCUAAUCCACUACCUUUUCUAAGGUUAAGCUUAUCGGAUUCGCGCCAAACUCCAACCAUAGCCUCAAUUCAUUUAUUUCAACAUUCUAAAACAAUAAUAAGGGAAAUCCAAUGGUCAGAUUCUACCCCAUUAACCGCCAAAUUCACCAAUCUUUCAAAAAUCCAAAACCUAUUCAAAAUUCCUCCAAAAAUUUUAAACUUCAUACCAUUAAACUCCCCUUAAUAUUACACAUUUAAAACCCUAACAAUCCACUUCACAGCGGUGGCCGGAGGCCGACUCCGACGACCUCCAAUGACUACCAAAUUUUAACAGCAACUUCCUCUCAACUCACUCUACAACAUUCCUAACUAGCACAAACACCAAUUCUAAGCCUAACUAGGUUAAUCGAACCAAAACAACAACAAAGAACCCACCCUAGAUAUUCAACUCCAUAUUUCUCCUUACCUAGCUCAAGAGGGAGCGAAUCCUUUUGGGGGUUUGCAGCACUAGAGGAGAGCUUCCUAUUGAGCCAAGCAGCUCCGGCUAUGGCGGCCGGAGGAGGAAGUUCUGGCGAGAGAACCACCACGGCAGUCGGACCUUUCAGGUGAGAUAACUCCCUCACGGCGGAGCUAGGGCGGCUCUCACCGAUCCAAGAAGAAGGCUGGGUCGACGGCCGACCGUUUGGGACCGGUGCAGUGGUCGGACGGCGACGGACUGAACGGAGGAAUCCGGUGGGUCGGGGAUAGCUCGGGAGAGAGGGAGAGAAGAGAAAAAGACAGAGUGGGCUUUUCCACUAGAGUUUAACCCGAUCCAAACUUAAAAACCUCCUUCAAAAUAACACCCCAAAAAUAAUACCCUAAAAAAAAUCACCUUUUUACUAGCUAAAAUUUCCUCUUUUUGUUUUCCCUUACGAAUAAUCCCUCCGAGAUAAUCGUCCCCUAAAACCCCUUUAGGGACCAAUUAAACUAUAAACUCAUUGACGAAUAUGGUAAAACUCUUAUUAAUACCAAGCUAGUAAAUAAGAUAAAAAUUUAAGAGUCGGGAUGUGACAAUUCUUCCCUCCUUAUAAAAAUUUCGUCCUCAAAAUUUACAUACUUGACAAUCAAAGAGCAAGGGAUACUGAUGCCUCAUUUGCUCCUCCGAUUUCCAAGUAGCUUCCUCUACUUGAUGACUCCUCCACAGAACUUUAACAAGUGGAAAUGAUUUGCUUCUAAGCACUUGCUCUUUUUGGUCAAGAAUCUGAACCGGCUCCUCAUCAUAGGUCAAAUCUUUCUUCAAAUUAAUCGGCUGCUCUUGCACACAUGAGAGAGAUCGGCAAUAAACUUGCGAAGCAUGGAUACAUGAAACACAUUAUGUAUCUUGGAUAACUCUGGAGGCAAAACUAAUGCUACGCAAGUGAGCCAACUCGCUCUAUAAUCUCAUAAAGACCAAUAAAUCUUGGACUAAGUUUUCCACAUUUACCAAAACGUACUACCCUUUUCCAAGGAGAAAAUUUCAAACACACCCAAUCACCCACUUGAAACUCAUGGUCCUUCCUGCGGACAUCUUUAUAACUUUUAUGUCUAUUUUGGGCUGCUUUGAGUCUAUUUCUGACUACUUUAAUCUUUUCAUUUAUAUCUUAACUUAUUUUAAUCUUCUCAAAGACUAAAUCUUUCGUUGAACCACUAACAUCUACACGUAAGCGAUUUCAGUGAUACCUGCUCCAGAGUACGAGUACCCGUAGGUAUGCACACUCCUUCCUGAGCAAUGGAAAUAGCUAACCCAAAUAAAGAGCAUAAAUUUACUAUCACCAUCGGCUCAAAUCUCCUAACGUCACGCAACAACUUCGUCAUUACGUUGCUCACAACUCAACAAUGAAGCCCACUUGCUAGGAAACUAAAGUUCACGCAUUCCCACAUGCUCAUAAGGGUCAAAAUUAAGACCCGCUAAUUGAACAAAUUUAAGGAUGCACACACUGCAGAACUGCAACAAUCACUUCUAAUACCGAGACACUUUGCAGAGUCUUUCGUGGAGUCAAAGCUCUCGCAAGUCCACAAGACAACCUUGCUCUGCCUAAGUGACCAGUCCACCAACAUAUGAUAACCUCGAUUCUCGAAAUGACAUUAUUUAGAGAUCAAUACUACGUCACUUAGGUCUCUCCACCAAAACUAUUACAUUACUAUUUUGAGCACCACAAACUAGCAGCUUAUGGGAAUUCCAACUCUCUCAUGAUUCUGCUAUCUCCACUAAUCUCUUUACCACAAACCAGAAGAUAAUCUGAAACAUGACUAUCAUGUGGAAACUGAAUAUUCCUCCUUGCUCGCCAUAAACAAAACUAACUAAUAAUGUCCACGAAAAAUUGGCACAGUCAAUUCAUGAUGCUAAACUUGACGUUGAAAUCUACAUAAUUAGAACACCUUCCUUAAGCAUUGACAGACUUUACAUCUCUAGCCAUGCUACUUAUUCGGGUGCAACCGCGACCCCAAGUGCAACAAUUAAAAGCACACGACUCACUCUAGCCGUUCCACAAGAAUGAUUCUAAAUACCAAAACCUUUGGACUCGACAAACACACUUCUUUUUCUACCUCUAAUAACAAUUAAUCUAAUAGCAGAAUACAAUCUGAAAAUCAGAUAUGCUCAAGUCUCCUACACCUUUCAAGCGCCACGGCUUCCCACCAAAAAGAUUCUCUGAUAACCGAGCUUGCAGAACCAAGUUAACCAUCGAAUAUAUAUAAAAAUAAAAAAUAAAAAAUAAAAAAAUAAUUUCCAUAACAAGCCCACUACUACACUUUGUGGUUCACCAACCAACGAAAACUAUAAGUUCAAGUAAGAAUCAAGACUCAUGGCUAAUCUCAACGCAAGCUCCAGAAUAAAUAACUUCAAAUUUAUGAAGGACAAGUCCCACAACUUCGAGCUCAAAAGCUCCACAAAUCACCGACGUCCACUAGAACCUGUUUCGAAAACGCACUAGAAGUCAACAUUUAAUAGUGGUUUCAACUAAUCACCACUACCAGAAGAAAGGCUUUAGCCGACGAAAAUAAAAAAACCAGACCGACAAAUCAUUUUUUCAUCGGCUAAAAUCCACUUUAGCAGACGAAAUUUUCCUUCGCCGGCUAAUUUAUAUUUUCGUCGGCUAUGGUCAACUUUAGCCGACGAAAUUUUAAUUUCGUCGGUGAAAGAAUUUAUUUCGUCGGCUAAAGUUCACAAACUAUAGCCGACGACUUUAAACAUUCUUUAGCCGACGAAAUUAUAAUUUCGUCGGCUAAAGUGUUUUAUAUUUGCAGAUCUGGAUAGUAACUCAUCUGGGAAAAAAAAAGGGAGAAAAAGUUUGGGUGUUGUCAAAAUCUGUCCAUAAUUAGUUUGUGGAGCUAUAUAUAGGUACGUACAUGUGUAUAUAUGUUGAUUUUGAGUUUUAUUUGAGUUGAUCGAUUUUGAGUGUGAUUGAAUUGAUAGAUUUUGAGUACGUUGGAUGUAUAUAUAUAUAUGUGUUGAUCAAUUUGGUUGAUGAUUUGAUAAUAUAUAUAAAGUUGUUGUUAAUAAGUAGUAGAUAUAUAUAUAUAUAUAUAUAUAUGUUAAUUAAUUUAUAAUAUUGUGUUGAUGGUUUGAAGUUGUUGAUGAUAUGAGUUGAUGAUGAUUUUGUGAUGAUGUUGAUAUAUAAUAUUGUUAUAAGUUGAUCGNNNNNNNNNNNNNNNNNNNNAUAUCACGGUGAAACAAUCAUCAGGGGGUCCGGCAUGAUCAUGGCCAAUUUCUGAGACGGGCAGUACAUCCAACAAUCCAACAACAGCCUUCAUCAACGACAUGUUUCCUUAUGAGAGCGGUGAAUGCGCUCAAGGACAGUAUAUGCCUGACCCGGUGCAGCCCUUCCCAAGAGCUGUCAACACUACUGGUAUUGACAAGUACAACAAACUGCUUGCUUUCCAACAGACCCUUGUGUACCCCGGUUGUCAAAAGACCGUUCUUGAAAUUGUGAUGGACGUAAUGAAGAUUAAAGUUGAGACAAAAUCGACCGUGAAGGCUGUUGAUGAUUAUCUACAGUACACUGCUUCGAUGUUGCCCCACGGUCAUCGUCUUCCUACCACUCCUCAUAAGGUCUGAUGUAUCCUGAAAGAUCUUGGGCUUUCCUACAUCAAGAUCCAUGCAUGCAGAUAUGAUUGCGUUCUCUUCUGGGGUAAAGAUCCAGAAGGGAAUGACCUUGGUGGCCUUGACGCAUGUCCGGUAUGUCACACUGACAGGUAUAACCUGACUCUUGCAGGCAACAGGAAACCUGUGAAGGUACUUUGGUAUUUCCCGUUGAGGGAUAGGCUGGAGCGGUUGUACAUGUCUUCACACACGGCCGAAGCUAUAAGAUGGCACGCUGAUAGUAAAUUGCAUGACGAAUAUACCCUUAUAUACGCUGCUGACGGGGAGGCUUGAAGCAUAUAGACAGGGAGUUUCCUCAUUUUGCGUCAGAGGUCCGAAAUAUGAGGCUUGGGCUCUCAUCCGACGGGUUCAACCCUUUUGGCAACAUGAGUUUUCAAUACAGUGUAUGGCCGGUGAUUUUGGUACCGUACAACCUUCCUCCAUAGAUGUGCAUGAAGAAGGAAUACAAUAUGUUGAGUUUGUUGAUUCCAGGGCCCGGUUAUCCAGGCAAAUGUCUUGAUGUGUAUUUGAGACCUUUGAUUGAAGAGCUUAAGUUUUUGUGAGACGUUGGUCAUCUCACUUAUGACAAAUACAUGCACGAGAUGUUCCAGGUGCAUGUCGUGGAUGUUGGUACCAUCAAUGAUUUUCCUGCCUGUGGGAUGUUGUCGGGCAACGUUGUUAGGGGAUACAAGACUUGUCCAGAGUGCCUUAGCGAUGAGGGGAGCAGCAGUCAUUGCAACAAGAUAUGCAAAUUUGAUCACCGUACUCUCCUUCCAUAUGAUCACGAAUGACGGUUCGAUGCACAUGCAUUUGAUGAGACCGUAGAAAACGGUGUGUCUCCCAGAAAAUGGACUGGGGAAGAAAUUUUUGCAGUGCUUAAUGAGUACGAUUUUGGGCAACUCAACAAUCAUCCUAAUAUUGUGGCAGCAAUACCUGAAAGACCCGACAUGUACAAAUUCUGGACACAUAAGAGCAUAUUCUGGGAACUCCCAUACUGGAGUAAGUUGUUGAUCAGACACUACCUAGAUGUGAUGCACAUAGAAAAGAAUGUUUGCGACAGUAUGGAAUGUGAAGAAUUCUUGAGUAGACCAAUUUUCAUGACUUCCAUUCAAAUGCAUGACAUUCGUUGAAUAUGAUAAACAAAAAUGGAUCUUUGACCUUCUUACAUACCCAAUAAAAAAGAAAACUUAAAGGGGUAUGAAAGCUUCAAGUUAAUGGAAGAUUAUAGGAAGCAUCAAAAGAACAUCGUAUCAGAAAAAAUUAACAAAGAAGACAUGAGAUAUUCAUUUCGCACUUGGGCAAUGGGUAUUCUCUGUUUAAUUUUUUAUUUAACAUGUAAUUGGUAAUAUCAGAAAUAUAGAUCAAUGAGUUUCAGUGAAAUGGGUUGAAACUGAUUAAGGGCAAGGCACAAAGAAUUACUAAACAAGAUGAACACGAAGGUUGUUUUCUUUUAUUCUGCAGUACAUUCUUCAUGUUUUCCUGUUCUUGUAUUCGUAUUCUUCUGUUCUUUUUAUUUAGUUUUGGUAUUUCUCUUUUAAUAAAACUCCAAAAACAGUUUAAUCUACUUCUUUUUAUUUAUUUAUUUUACUUUUUUUAUUAAAUAGAUAUAUAAUGUCAUGUCAUCCUCACAUUUAAUCUAAACCAUUGAAUGUCAUAAAAUCUGAAGGCUCACAAAUGGUGUAAAAAAUUAGUGUAUAAUUUGUGUCCCUUGAACCGGACUCUUGAUAUAUAAUGAGCAAGUCUUGCAAUGACUCAAGUAUGAAGUCUAGUCUUCGUUCGUAUCACCAAGUCAUGGUCACAAAUUGGAGCUAGGUCUUCCUCAGAAUUUUAUAUUUUGCAGUACGAUAAUAAUGAGUUAUUCCACCCUAGUACCACACUUCUCCAUAACCACUAACAAAUGAUACUGGAGUUGGAUUUGAAAGAAACAUGCAGACUUUUCAGUCUUCAGUAACAGUUCAAAGAGUGAUGGCCAACACCAAACUAUGGUCAUGCCUAGUGUUUUGGUUAAAACUAUGACCACAUUGUAUGGAAUGUGUUCAUGAAAUAAAUCGAUCCAUACUUCAAGCACUGAUAUUGAUUCUUGUGCCCUAGUGACUGAGACUAAUAUCUUUCUGCCGUUAUACCAAAAGGUACCGUGCUCUAUUACUUAUGUCCAAGUAAAAUACUAAAACCAGACAGGAAAAAGCGAUACGACCAAAUCCUUAAUUAGAAGAGUUGAGCUAUUGAGUAUGCUUGCUGAUGAAACUUCUAUUGCUCCAAAAAAGUUCUUAGACAAGGUGGGGCUAUGGGAAUCACAUAAACUCCUGUUCUAGUGGGAAGAAAAAAAAAAAAAAAACAACUGUUUUGACUUGAUGAACCAGGGCAUGAUAUUUUACUGUUGGCAAUUCCAAAAGUUGGUAUUGAAUUUGAAACCUAUCCAUCUAUUGCCCUCCCUGUGCAAGUGUUGGACAUAAUGAAGAUAAACGCAAAAUAAACUAUCCCUCAACUAACCAGCUGACAGCUCAAGAUGGAAGGAAGAUCAAAUAUAAAGGUAUGAGUUUGUAAUCGUAAACCUCAACUGCCUAACAAACAUUUAUAAAUAUAUGUCUCAGAAUGUUGAUGACAAGAGGGGCAUGAACUUCACCCGAGAGAGGGUCUAUAUACCCCAAUGACAUGCAAGAAUUUUUCCCUCCGUUCCAGAUUUUAAAGUUCAUAUUACAACUUACUUUCCAAGAAACUAAUAGUGAAAAAAUGGUACAUGCUUAAAUGCCAGAAUGGAUUUUUAUAACAUGAUCACUAAAAUGACUAUGAUUGUUCUAAGUUCUAAGAUUUAAAUCUAAGUUCUAAGUUCUAAAAUCUGACAAAUCACAUUGUAGGUAGUAAAAUGUAUCACAUGUUACAUGGAACAUGAAUGAACUGGUCUCAUACCACAACAUUCCGAAAGGUAUGAACGUGUUAUAAAGCAUUGAAAUCAUGUAAGAAGUUUCAUACAGCAAAUAUGAUAUAGGCAGAAGGAGCUCAGAUCCCAAGCAACAACUCAGAA
rnacentral:lncRNA from 1 species